rnacentral:lncRNA from 1 species
UUUAUAAAAAGUAUAAAUAAUUUUAAGAAAAAAAUUAAAAAAAUACUAUUACCAACAAAAAAUUCCAUUGGAAACUUUAGCGGGCUUUCAAAUUUUUUUGGUCCUUAAACUUUUCGAUAGAUUUUCAAUAGAUAAUCUUCCGUUGGAAAUUCCGUCGGAAAAGGUGGUGGGUGAAAUAUUUUUGGGCGCUAAAAAAUUCUCUAACGGAUUUCUAACGAAAAAAUUUCAUUAGAAUAUUGUUGUUGGAAAUCCAUCGAAAAUCCAUCGAAAAAAUUAACAAUAAUUUUUGUUAGAAUUCCAUUAGAAAUUUCCAACGAAAUUUUUUUCAUUGAAAAAAAACUGUUUUCUUGUGGUGGAAGUUUGCCCUAUAUGCUCUUCCAUGUAUCCACGUAUCAUUUAUAUGCUCUUUUUUUGGAACUAAAAGUCUACAAAAUGAUUUAGUGCUAUAUUCUCCACUUGUGCCUUUUUCCAAACUGCUUUAUCCUUCAAGUGUUCAUUGAGAUGGUAAUACUUUAUGAGCUCCAUCAAGCUUACCCAUUGUUCUCGCUCUUAACCAAAGGGCUCUCUCCUCAAAUAUUCUUUAUUCCAAUGCCAUUCUUUAUUAGUUCACUCGGCAAAUUUUUUUAUUGUUCCUUCAUUAUUCACUUUGAGUGCAUAUAUCCUAAGCACCACUUGUUGAAGACUAACACCAUCAACCCAUUCAUCAACCAAAAACUGUAUAUUGGCACCAUUUCCUACCAAAAACCAAAAUUAGAUGAUACUUGGAAGAAAAAUUUGUUAAUGGGGUAAAGAUGAUUAAUAAUAUUUUGUUAAACUUUUGAGCACCUCUUGCUACCAUGGUCCAUCGGUAGAAGAUUAGUGGGGUCUUCACUAACUUUUUCAACAAUCACCUUCCUCAAAAGGCAAUUCUUCUUCAUACGAAACCUCCAAAUCCAGUUGUUCAAAAGAACUCGAUUUUUCACCUCGAGGUCAAUAAUGCCUAACUCUCCAUUCUCCUUAUAGUUACACACAUUUCCUUACUCAACGAAGUGUAUUUUUUUCUUUGAAUCAAUCACACUCAAUAAAGACCUGUUGUGAAUCUUGUCAAUCUUGUUCUUCACACUUAUGGGGAUUUUAAAAAGAAAUAGAAAAUAAAAAGACUAACCAACAUUGUCCGUAGCAAGGUGAUCUUUCAACCUAAAAAGAGUGUUUUUGCCUUCCAACCUGUCAAUUUAGCCUUGAAUAUUUCCACCACCAAUUUUCAUAUUUUAAUGGAUUAUUGAUUAACACCUAAUGGAAGACCCCAAGUACAUUAUGAGGAUUACCUCAACUUUACAAAAGAUGUUUGCAACCCACCUCUCAAUGAUAUUUUUUUCUAACGGUGAGAAAAAUUGGAUCGAACCAAUGACACGACCAAACCAAAUGCAAUUUAGGUAAAAUGAUUCGGUCUGAUUGGUCCAUUCAGUUCAAUCGAUCCAAAAAGUUUGUUUUAAUCUAUUUUUUUUGUCAAUUUUCGAUCCUCGAAUUUUUGGAUCGAAUCGACCAAAAAAUCAAACUUAAUAUUUUAUAUAUACAUAUGUUGUAUUUAUAUAAAAUAUAUUUCCUAUUUACUACUUACAAAGUUACUACGAAAGUAAAUUUUAUUAUCUUUGUUAUGUUGAAUCUUGAAUGCUAGAACUUAAAGGUUACAACUCUUAAAUAUUAAUUUGAUGGCUUAUGUGGAAGGACAAAGGUUGUCUUAACUUGGAUGUUAAUUUUAAAGAUAUUGAUGUUGUUAAUGUUAAAUGUUAUGCUUGAUGUGAGUGAGAGGACAAAGUUUUUUUUUUGUUUAGAUUAAUUGCAUAUUUAAUAAUUAUAGAUGAAAUUUAUAAAUUUAAAUGUUGAAAUUUGUAAGAGACAACAAUGAUAAAAUUUCAAUUCUUUUGGUUCAAAACCAAAUCAACAGAACCAAUUCAAUCUUUGAUUUUGAACCUCUCUUUAAGAUUGGUUUGUUUUUCAAAAAAGUUUGGUUCAUUUGGUCCUUGAUUUUGAUAGACCGAACCGAUCGAAUUGAUCAAUUGUUCACUCCUAUUUAUCUCCACUCCUUUUCCAAUAAGGCAACUCUUAUUAAAGUUAAUCUCAAUAAAAGUUUCUAAUAUUUUAAAUAAUAAUAAUAAUAAAAAUAACUAAAGAAGAUAACAUUAAAUAUGAGGUUAAGGCUUAUUUUUUAAGGUUAUAAACAAGAAAACACAAGAUUAAUAAAUAUAAUUCUUUGAAUGGGCAUUGUAAAGAUGCUAAUACCUACCCUAUACAUAACUGUACUCCUAAGUAUGGCAAACAGGGAAAAAUAAAGUAGCCUUUGUUUUAAGUAUGACAAAUAGGGAAAAAUAAAGGUUUAUGGUGGCUAUUGUAACAACCACAAUACGUUUCGUUGAUCAUUUACUUUAUAUACAAGGUAUAAAGAAACACAUAAUAAAACACUUGUUUAAGGAUAGAUUAUAAGUGUUCAACAUAGUUUGAUAUAUAAACAUGCAAAGUACCACAUAGUGUUCUUCAACAUUGAGCAAGACAUGUAAUGAUAUGCAUGAUAUCCAAGUGGAUUACCACUUGACUUUUUGUCCACUUGGUACAUGCAAGCAUUAGCUUUAACAAAUGGGAGGAAAUUCGAUACAUUUGUGUAGACAUCGUAUUUUAUCUCCAAGCAUUUUUAAUUAUUUGCUCUAUUUUAUUUGAUUUUCUUAUGAUGGGUUACCUUUGAGCCCAACUAAAAGCUAGGCUUCUUUGAUGUCUAAUCUUUGGGUAUUAUAAAAUAGACCCAUGUUUAGGCUCUUAAAUUUUAAGAUCCAUGAAUCCCAAAUAAAUAAAUAAAAAUAAUAUCACCCUUGAGCCUCACCCUUUUUUUUAUUAGACCCUUUAAAUCCCUCUUAAAAAUGGAGGUUCAACAUAGACAUUGAAUCUAAAAGCCGGUGAAGUUAAAAAAUAGGGAAAGGCCAAAUCACACAGUACCAAAGGCAGCGGGCAAGUCUUCUAUCCACUACCAAUGGAGAUAUUUGGAAAACAAUCUUAUUUCCCCGCGGUUAUAAAAACCAGGAUAAAAACACAAAAAAAAAAGAUUUUUUUUGUUUUAGAAAUAAAAAAAACCUUGAGAAAAUAAAAAAUCCAAGUUUCUAGCAAUCGAUAAUAUACCACAAUAUCAUAAAAAAGAAAAAAAAAAGAAACAAGAGCAAAACAAUGUUCUGCAAGGAUUUUCUUAAUUUGAUUUUCUCAAUUUCUAGGGUUUUGAGACGAGGAUGAAGAUUGAAGAGUGAGAAUCGAGAAAGAAAAAGAGGGUUUUGUUGGUUGAGACGGUGGAUUUCAUAAUGGUGGAGGUGCACGAUAGAGAAAAAAAAGGGAAGAAAAGCGGCAUAGAGAGUAGAGAGGGAGUCGUUUGGUAAAGAAAGAAGGUGAAAAAGGAAAAUAAGGGAUAGGCUAAAAAAAAAAAGUUUUAUACCUAACAUUUGGGUAGGUAGGCCACAAAAUGAUGUCGUCUUUAUUUGAAAAAAGAGAAAUCUUAAGGCAAGGGCUAGUGUGAUUUACACAAUACAAGCCCACAAAGCUUGGACCAUUUUGUAGCAGGUCGCAUGUUGGGCCACAUCAUAGUAGAACCAAGCCAGGCUUGGCCCUUGUCCCUCUUCUGGUCCAAUAGCUGUUGAUUUCAAGUUGUACACAAAUCACAAUUGCUUGGGUCAGGUUGACUUAAAAAAAGUAUGGGCUUUGUUGAAGAUAAUUUUGUUGAUUGGGCUGAUUGGUUGUAUGCAUGAAUUUGCUAUGUAUUUGUUGGUAGUUUUAAUUAAUAUAAUAGUUUUAUUUUUAAAAAAAUAAUAAUAACAAAUAGAUUAGUUUAUGAAAAAGUAUGUAUGUCCAUAAAUAUGCAUCAUAAAAAAAGAUAUAUGUAUAAGAAAAUAUGCAAAAAUGUAGUUUAGCUAAGCUUUAUAUAUAUUAUAUAUAUAUAUAUAUAUAUAUAUAAGAAACAUAGUAUGAAAAAUAAAAAUAAGUACAUGGCUUAAAUUAUAUAUAAUGUUGAUACUAAAAAAAAGGAAAGAGGAAAUUAGAAUCUCCAUACUUAGAAAAAUAGAGUAGUUAUUCUUUUUAAAAAUAGUAACAUAUGAAAAAUAUUAUUUGAAUUAAAUCGAUGAUGGAAUAUUUGCUCAGGAUGCUAGAAGUUACAAUCUCGAAUUAAUUUUUCUAAGUGAGGGAUUUUGGUUAAAACUCCACCAAUAUGAUGGGAGGGUUUUAAUUUUGAGACUUAAUAUUUUAAUCCCAAAUGAAUAUGUCUUUAAAAUAUUCAUGAAAAAUAAUAAUAAAAUAAAAAAGCAUAGAGUAAAAGUAAAAAAUAGAAAUAAUAAAAUAAUGAAUAAUAAUAAAUAUAAAAUAAAAAGAUAACAGAAGUAUAUGUAGUUUUAAAAUGGUAUGGAGUUAUGUUUAGAAAUUGAUUUUUUAAGAAGAAGUGGUAAAAAUACAUAUUGCGCGUGAUAAUUAAUGAAUGAAAUUAAAAUCCUAUAAUAAAUGUCUUGAGCAAAAGUGAAAAAGGUAAGGAGAAAUGUAAAAUACGUUUGCUAAAUUAUAAAAAUAUAAAAUAUAAAAAUUGACAUAUACUUAAUUAUUUAUUUUUUUAGUUUAAAAAUUAGGGAUCCCACUAGAACGAUAAGAAGGUCUCAAUUUUAAUAAACUAGUGUCAUUCAAAACAAAUUUAUUCCAAAUAAUAAAGUUGAUAGAAUUUAUUAGGGAAAGGGUAGUAAUAAAUAAAUGGAAAUUUUCUUGAAUAAUCAACUUAAUUAGGAUCCCACCGGAAUAAUGGGAGAGUUCUAAUCUUCUGUCAUGGAUUAUCCCAACCCAAAGGAAUAUUUUCAAGUAACAUUUAUCAAAGGACAAAUAAGUAGAUAAAUAAUGAAACUUAAAACAUUUAAUUAAAAAAUAAAAAAUCAUUAAAAUAAAUAAAAACAAGUUUGCAAAAAUGAAACACAAUUAUCAUUUAAUUCAUUAUGCAUCAUCACAUGCAUUGUUUAUUUGUUAUUAUAUGUUAACAAUAUAUUUUGCGAGCGAAUGAAGGCUUUGAUGAUGGGAUUUGCUUGAUAAAUUUGCAAAGGUGAAUUUUCCCAAGUAAUUUCCUAAGUAAAAGAGUAUCUUCGGAUCUCACUAGUAUGAUGAGCGGAUUUGAAAAUUAUUCUCAAUAAAAGGUUCUCAUUUGAAAUUUAUCAAGAUUUACAUCAUACAUUUUAUAAUUGCUUUACGUGCACAUUAUACAAAUAACUAAAUAAUAAACUUUACAUUAUGAAUAAAACGAAAAAUAAAAUAAAUGAAACAAUAAAUAAUGAUUAACGAAAAUAGGAUAAAAUCAAAAAUUAAGGCUAAGUAAAGAUAACACAUAAUUAAUUGGUACUAUUCUUCGAAUGGGUGUCACGAGGUGCUAAUACAUUUCCCAUGCAUAAUCAUACUCUCGAACUCAACUCAAAACUUGCAAGCCAGAUUAUUGCUUUUAAGACGAAUCCAAAAUCAAUUUAAGACCUCUAUGAAUACAACAAAUUUAAUAUAUGACCAAUCACAUUAAAUAAAAAAAUUUGAAGACGACUCUCAAUUUUUAAUGUCUAACGGUUGGCUUUUCGAACUCGCAUGUUACAACAAUCUGAAUGUUUGCCAUAGUCCUACAUUCGUCCAAAUCAAAAGCCACAAGAUAAGAUUUACGGAAAUUUAUUUUGAGUCUUGACACAAGUUCGAAGCACUGGAGAAGGUUCGGAUAUUGAGUGCACUCUGUAAACUUUCCUCCAUGAAGAUGAUGGUGCAUAUCAUCUUGCCGAUAAUAACCUACCAACAAAAAUUCCAGCUUUGGAAAGUGCUAUAGUCCAAACCAUACUGCUCUCUAAAUACUCAGUGAGUGCAAAAAAAAAAAAAAAAAGAAAGAAUAGAAUACUCUACAAAAAGAAUUAUAACUGUGUAUAAACCAUUUAACGUUUUUUCCAAAUAAUUCUUUCGGAAGCAGUUUUAUGAAGACAAAAUUUGUUAACCAAAGACAUGAAGUCCUCCCAUUGCUGUAAUUCCUAAUCAAAUAACCUUCUAAGAGGACUACUAUGUCAAGACCAAGUAUUAUCAAUCCAGGUACCAUAUUCUACAAUAUUAUCUGCGUUGCUAGUGGCAAGAGCAAAAACAUGAAGAAAACGCAAAAAAAAAAAAAAACAAUACAGUUGUCCCGCCAUUUAUCCGAUCAAAAUUUUAUAUUAAAGCCACAGCGAAAAGAGAAGCCCAAAAAUCUCAAGUAAAUUAUGUAAUAAUUAGGUGAAUGUUCGCAUUCAGUUAGGAAAGCAACAUUUAACCUUAUAGUAUAAUUGUAUGCACCUGAAAAUCUUCUGGGAAAUGAUCUAAUUGAUAAGGUAUAUGUUUGAAUGUAUAAACUUUUGUUUUGUCUAGUGCUACAUUCAUACACGAUGAGAAAGGAAAAUCUUUGUUUUAUCACAUGCAUUUGCUUAAGCUCUUUCAAUUCGUCAAAAAAGAAAACCUGUAAAUUCUAGCAUUCUUUCUUUUAUACCAUAUUUACUAUCUUUAAGAAUAUAGAGCUGAGCUCAAAUCUUCCGUUUACAAAACCCAAAGAAAGAAAAAGGAAAAAGACCCUGCUUAUUAAACAACAUUAUCAUUAAUUUGUAGACAGCAUCAAACCGGUAGAAUGACAGUAUUAAUUAAUCACUCUUCCUAAUUAACCUACGCAUAACAAAUUGUGGAGACCAAAGAUUUUUCAUUGCCACGGGUAAAAAGUUGACAAAAGAAUAGUAAUAGAAAGGAAUUUUCUUAAUGAGAAGGUUUUCUGUUUUAGUUCACCGGUUGUACCAUCGGAAUUUAACCAUGCCACCACUGACAACUAUCCCAUAGGGAGAAAACAGUGUUUUGGGAUGAAUGAAUUUAUCAUCUCUCAUCUACAAAAAAUGCUGUAACCAACUUCAAAACUAUUAUAAACUAACAAAUGGAAUAUUGAUUGUGUGCACCCAAUAACCAAUUUGCAUAUCCAUAUGUAAAAUCUUUCAAAUAUCGAUAUCCAAAUGUAUCAAUAUGAUAUACAAUGCUCAACCUUACUAAUUCAAGCCUAAACUAUGUAAGAAUACUAGCUUUCAAGUAUAUAUAUUACCUAUAAAUACUAACUAUCCUUCUUUCUUUACAGUAGGCUUGCUUCUUUCUUUAUAUAAGAGCGAGCAUGAUAUAAAUAUAAACUGAACUUGGAAAGAUUAUUUUCCUGUUCUCCCGCUUCGUUGAUGCAUGCUCAGUGUCAUGAUUUAACUUACUUUAAGUGUUUCUAGAAGGGCAAGAAGUAAUAUAUAGCCCAUCAGCUGAUAGAAUUGAAAGUAAAAGCAUGCAUUGCGAAUUGGAUUCUUCAGGCCACAAAAUCUGGCAACAAUUGCGCAGCAAACCUUUUUCUGUUUUGCAUCUCAAUGUUCUCAUAACCGGUGCUCGAAUGAGAAGCUUGUUGGUUGUUGAUCCCACAGAAAUCAGAUUCGCUUGGUCCUAAUUCUAACCUUCUUCCUAGCUGAAUGUUCUGGUUUGAUAGGAAGUUUUGUUGGUUCCCCGAGAGUGAGAGAUUGUCACAAUGGGGAAGGCCAAGAGUGAGGGAAACACUGUUUCCAGGAAACCUUGGUGUCAGCUGCUCAGGAUCAAACCUCCCAAUCUCUCCCAUAGUACUGUAUGUGCCAAAUCCGCCGCCAUGAUUAGCCGUUCCAGUUAAUAAUGAGUAACUAUCCUUGGAUAGCCUUUCCUCACCGAACUUUAUGUUGAUUUCCCUUGUUUCACCUUGCUUCAUGUCCAUGUCCAUUGAAAGGAUACUACUAGGGGAAUUGUGCAUGUCAUUGAUACCCCUGGGUUUUUUUGGGCUUCUUCGAGUAGCAGUACCAUCAAGGUCAGAUGAUCCAAUGAGAUUGAAGGCUGUUUGUGGCAGAAGGGACCCUCCCAUGGGAGAUGUGGAGAUUGUAGAGUUUGAAAAUUCAGUAGGGGAAGUAUUCUGAUUGAUGGAUUUGUCAGGCUUGGAUUGAGUUUUAACUUGAUCCAUCUUAAGUGCCGCACUCUCUUGCUGGGCACUGGAACUAGACCCUGACUCCUUUUGCUCACUUUUGUUUCCAUUCUCUUCACUGCCAUUCCUUUCUCGUUCCUUGACUUCUUCCAAAUACAUUUCUUCAACCAUUGGCUUCCAAAGGCGAACUCGAGCAUUUAUAAACCAGUUAGACACCUGCAUUUCAAGUUAAAUUGUACACGAACUACUUUAGCCUUUUUCCCUAUGAAUAGAAGAUAAAGAACAAUGAUCAAAGAGAAUUAGUAAACAUAUACAUAAAUUGAAGUUGGAGCACAUACCUGGCUUCUAGUAAGCCCUGUUUGUUUAGCCAGCAUGUGUUUGUCUGAAUCUUUAGGAUACCUGAAGCGACAAAGUAAAAGGAACUUCGAAUGAGCUAAACAUAAUUUACGUAUAUGAUAUCAUCUACGAAGAGGAUUUCUGGUUCAAAGUUAAUUGUCAAAGAAGUACAUACGGAUGAAGGAAAUGCUCGAACAGCCAAGCACGAAGAACAGAAACAGCUCGUUCAGGUAAUCCUCUCUGGGGUCUCCAAGCAUUGUGUUGCAUCAUUCCCAACUGCUGCAGCGCCCGUUGUUGUCGAAGCUGAUGGUCAACAAAUCUUAGUCUUGAACCCUCAACUUUUGCACCUAAGCAAUCCUCUUCUCCUAAACUCUUGCUUGUGGCUUUGAUUUGUCCAGAUAUUGCAUCUUUAAGACAGCGGAAUUGCUUCGAAAUUGUCUGCAAAGCGAGGGCGGUGUAUGAUCUUGCUGCACCAAAUCCUGCUGCCUGCUCGAACGAAGAAACUACAAUUUGCAUUUGGUGAUGGUACUGCCUGUAUCUUUGCUCCACCUUCAAGUUCAUCACCAAAGGAAAACAAAAGAAGAAAAAGAAAAACGAAAAUCAGUAGAAAUAUACAUAUAAAAUUAUCUUGAUAAUUAAAAAAGACAAGACAAAGUAAGCACAUCUUUAAUGUUCCAAAUAUUAGUGGAAUCGUCUGGUAAAGUAAGAUCACUUUCACUGCUAGUACCGAAGUUGUCUUAAGUGAAAUAGAUUUUGCAGCUAAUGGACCCAGUCUACCUGCACCUUAUUAACUCUAGGCCAAGCUUGCACGCCUAGUGAAGCAAUAGAAACCAUGAGAAAGAAAAAAAGGAGAUGAGAAUCACUCGCCACAAGUUUUGAUGACAGCUCAAUGUUUUCCGAAUGCCUGAUCAUGACUAAAGAGGGUCCCAAGCUAACCAAUUCCAUAUAUAUAAUAUAUUUAUUAUAUCAAACAAUAUCUUGUCUGUUGAAUAUCGAGUACGGCAAGAUUUUGAACUAUUCAUUAGUAUACUACUAUAAUUUAUAGUAUAUAAUUCCAUUAGAGGUAGCUAAAACUGUUGCAGAAUGAAAAUUCUUUCCCUGCAUGAAUUCUGAGAUAAUAGAUCACUAUACAUGGUCUUCCUUAGCAGUAAAUUUUCUUGUGCUAGUCUUAGAACUGGAUCCAUAAUUGGGUAAUAAUAGUCUAUGCUUGUUUCAGUUUUACAAAUAUAUUGGGGUUGGAAGUAUACAUUAAAUGAUAGAGACAUGGUAACUGUAAAGAAAUGAAUGCAUUUUUCUUUUCAAGUCCUCGAGAAAUCGCAUUUCCAGAGCGUUUGAUGCGCGUUCGCUUUUAACUAUAAGAUGGGAAUUGAAACCAAAAAUCAAAUUAAAUUAAGUCAAGAACUUAAAAACGCGUAUAAGAAAAUAACAAUAAGCUAACCUCAUCAAGCAUGCUGACAAGUUUUGCCUUCUUCAUCUGAAGCUCCUGUCUUUGUGCUGUGGUUAGCUCAGCUCCACGUUUAGCCCCAUUUUCACCAGCACUCGAACCCUCUCCUGUCACAGCAGCGAUCGAUUCUUUGUUCAUCUUUAUCUUCUCCUUGGUCCCCUCAGACACGUCAGUCUUUAUCCCUUUCCCCACAUUAACAACUUCAUCAAGAAGCUCUUGCGCUGCUCUCAAGUACUUCGAUCCCAAAACAACACUUUGAACUCCGGAAAUCCCAUUCGAAACAACGGAAACCGACGACGGUGAAUUCCCAGAUAUCCUCAUAUCAUCAGCUAGUGAUAUGGUGGGAACUUGAGAUUGUCCUUGGAUAUCUGUUUCAACAUUACUUGACCUGUAAGUCACCUGCUGCUGGGAUGAUAGACUCAGGGACAAACCUUGUCUCGGUGACGCUACCGGCCGACGUAACCCCAACUGCGAUGCAACAUCGUGGGCCCCACCCGAGUUCGCUGCUGCUGCAGCCGCUGCCGACACCACCUGAGCAUGGCUACUUCCUGGUGAAUUCUGAUGAUCGAUGUUUGGUCCCCACAAGUUAUAGUGGACACCGGAGACUAUACCAUGAAGGGAUGGACGGUGGGGAUCAUCCGAACUGCCUGGUCUGAUGGAAGCAGCUGGUGUAGGGAGAGGGAGACCCAGUAGGUGGUGAUGGUUAGGAGGUGGCGCGUGGUGUAGGCUUGUAGGGUUCAGCGCGUUACCGGCGGGGUUCAAGAAGAACAUGUUAGUGGCAGCAGCUGGUUGGUGUGUGUCAGAGUAGGGCACGUAGUUGGGAUUCAUGAGAUAGAGUGUUUGCAUCGUCCCAUCAGGUGCAGCAGCAGAAGCAGCUUGGAAUUCUGAGCUCCCAUGAAAGUACGUCGCCAUCUUGAUUUGAAAGCCACCCCUCAAAAGAAAGCCUCUUGUUGCAGUGUACGGAAACUGCACAACUGAAAGAAAAAUGUCCAAGGUAGCUUUGUAAAGAAUAAAGAGUAGUUUCUCCCUUUUUCCAAUCGCUGGAGUACUAGAGCUUGACUUGAAGUUAACAAAUCAUCAGCCCAUUUUGAUGUUCAAUUCAUUGCAAUUUGGUGAGGACAUGGACCUUGCUUUUCUGGACAUGACCUGGAAAAAAAGUGAAUCCACAGCAUAGAUAAGGAGAGAAACUUAGAAAUCCUCUAAUCUGAAACCGUAACUUAGAAAUUAAAAAAAAAUAAUUUGAGCUGUAUAUGUUUCUAGGAACUGAAGAAGAAAGAUGAGAAGAGAGAAGAGAAAGAUGUAAAAUAUUGGAGCAAGUUGUUUAUAUAUGGACAGAGAAAGAGGGAGAGAGAGAGAAACAAAAAAUUUUAAGGUAUUGAGAUGAUAGAUUUGCUCAUCAAGAGUGACACAGAAAACCCCAUCAAAGAAAAGCUGAGCUUCUCUAUAAUGAAUAAAAUAAAAAAAGAUAUCCGAAAAAAAAAAUGGGGAAAGGAACCCAUCAAACGGAUGUUGCAGAGACAGGCAAAGUACCAUAUUCCAAUCCCAUUAUGGCUAAAAACACACGAAAGAGGAUGCAUCUGAGAGCACACACGUUCUGUCUAAAUGUAUAUCAUGGAAGAAAAUCUUUUUAGGCUUUGGUGUAUAGUUUGCUGAUCUUGUCAGACUCAAAUUCUUUGCUAUUUUCUUCCUUUCAGUGUAUAAAUAUAUGAUAACAACUAAAAGAAAUAGAGAGAGAGAGAGAGAGAGAGAGAGAUGUGGUUUCAAGACUCUCAACUACAAGCAAGAAAAAAAAAACAGAGGAAUGAUGCCCACUUAUUUCUCUUUCUCUUUCUUGGUUUUUUUUUUCUUUCCAAAAAAUAUGGGCCUUUGCUGCUUUCUCAUUGGGGGAAUUAAAUAACAAAAUAAAUAAAUUCACUGUUUGAUAAAUUGUCUUUGCUUUAUGUACACCCCCUUCUUUAUCUUAUCUCCUAUAGUGUAUUGGGUGUUAGGUACCAGCAGUAGAUUUUGGAAAUAAAAAAAGAGCAAAAAAAAAAAAAGAAAAGAAAAUUGCAGUGACUUGGAGUCGCUUGAUCCUACUUUUUCAAAUCAUUUGAUGCAGGCCCGUUUGAUAAGGGAGCACAUAUAAAGCAGUGUGUGUGAGAGAGAAGAAAAAGAUGUAAAUAAAAAAUUAAAAUAAAAUUCUUUUGAAUAAAAAACUAUAGGAAAGUGGAGCAGCAAAAACAAGCAGCUGAAAAACGAGGAAAUGUCCAUUUCUACAGAGGGCUUAAUAAUAGAGACCAAUAAGAGGGGCAAGGGUUAGAGAAAUCACUCAUCGUUGGGCGUUCUUGGGCUUUUAAAGCUUUAUCCAAAUAUCUCUUUGUCUUGCAUUUGCUUUUUCUUCUUUCCUUUAUGAUAAUUAUUCCUUUUCUUUCUUUUUUUUUUGUCUUGUAAUUUUUUGUGGUAGGAUGCAAUAGCUAGAAGAUAAAGCACAAUGAAAUCCACUCUCUUUAAAGCACACACACACACACAUUUUUAUAAAAAAUAUAUGGAAUAAUAUUUUCUAUCUAUUUUACUAAUCAACAUCUUUAGGAAAAAGCUUAUAUUGAAUAUGUAACCAUGAUAAUCUAAUUCAUUAUAUCUUUUUUUAUUUUAAAAAAUUUUGGCUUGGAGCUUUUUCAUUUAUGUGAUGUGAAUAAAAUCAAUAUUGGAAGAAAAUCAGUCACAUUAAAUUUGAUAAUAGUGAAAUGCAGUGCUGUGCUUUGCAAAUUUAUUUGGAGGAAAAUAAUAUUGUUAGUAUCAAAGAAUGUGCCCUGUCUGAUCAAUCAGUGAGCCACUGAAGGGCCACCAUUGGGCAAUUGAAUCAAUCAAUUACCCUAGUUAAGAAAAGUACAGUCAAAGUUUUGACUUAGUUAUCAUUAGAUUCAAUCAAUAGGUGACCAGCUAGCCACCAACUGGCUCAUGUACACUGCUCAUUUGUUCCUAACUUUGUUCUUUUGCCAACACUAGGAAAUAAGGUCGAAUUUAGGCAGUAAAUCACUCUUUAUUUAUUUACCUCUGUAGAAAAAUGGACAUGUCCUGGUUUUUCAGCUGUUACUAGUACUCAAUAAUUAAAUAACAUUGGAUCAAGAAAUGCUAUCUUUUUCUUUAAUCUGGCAUGUGUACUCUAAUACCGACGCUUGCUGUCAUGCCCAAAUUUGGGAGGGCCUUUACUCAGCAGUCAGCAACUGAAGUGCCUUUUCACUAAGAAAAGACUGCUACCAAAAUCAGCACGAAAAAGAAACCUUCAACAAUAAACCAAAAAAAAAAAAUCUUUGCAUCAGACUUAGCUCAGCAGGCUGAGUUCACGGGUAAAAAUUUACACCCAACUAAAUUUUCCUGUCAAACAGUGAAAUUUUUACUGCUCCUUAUUUGAAUGUCUCUGUCAUGAUUCUUUGGGAUUAGGGAUGUUGCCUUUUGUUUUGUUUUUCUUUAAUGCUUCGUCCAUUGCAUUGCAUGCAAUCAGAAAGUUAAAUAAAGUUGUCUUUUCCUUUAAUUAUAUUAUUACUUCCUUAAUUACUACCAUAUUUAAAUAUAUAUAUAUAUAUAUAUAUAUGUAUAUAUAUGAAUAUACCAAGUUAACUUUCUUUCAAUGUCAAUACGAAAGGGGAAAGUUGAAUGAUGAUGGAUUAGUGUGGGAUAUUAGAUGUACCAUUUGCCUUUGUUGUUGCAAUAUUUAAGGCUUAUAAGUUUUCUUAUUUUCCUUCUUCUUCAAGUAAGAAGCAUCACUUUUUGGCUUAUAUAUUUCAUUUAAUGAAUUUAUUACAUAAAUCAUAUCUCAAUCAAUGGAUACCGCUAAGAAUUAAAAACAUUAAAAAUUAUUUCGUGAAUGUUCAAGAAAACUUUGUUUUUAAUUUUGACAUGCUAUUAACCAGUUCACACAUUUGAUUCUAAGAGUUAUGAUAAUACAAAUAUAUAUACAUAUAAGAGUUAUGAUAAUACAAGGAGCAAUAGAUAAAAACAGCAAAAACCUAGGGACCCCAUAUGAAACAUUUUCAAUUACAAAGAGGAAGAUAUAGGAGUUAAUUAGUGGGUUAGUAUUAAAACUGGGAUGACAAGUGGGCUUUCACUUUAAAUAAUCAUCAUAAUAUCAUCAUUAGUUGAGAAGCAUAUCUUAUCAACUAACUAAUGAAAAGGGAUUAAAGUAAAAUUGAUUGAAGAGGGGGACUAAUUAAAGUAAGUCAUCUCGUGUGCCAUCAAAAUAUGGAACUGCUAAUUUUUAGAUGGCCAUGAUGGGCACACCAGUUUCUUUUGUCUUUCUGUUCUACCCUCGUCUUUAACAUCAUUCAAAUUAAUUAGCCUACCAAUCCUCUCAGCUAGGCCAUGAUUAUCCUAACAUAUCCUUGCUAAACUAUUUCAAAAGAUUCCCAUAUUUUCUUGUUUCCAAGUUAACGAAGCAACCUCCAUAUUUUGUAAGCUAUAUGUUUUCCCAUACGGAUCAUAUGAUAUGGCAGCUGAAAUUUAUUUAUUUUUCUGACUAUUAAACAAAACUAGGGAAGAUGAAGCCUAUAUAGUCGGUAAAUUGUGAAUAAUAUUUUUUCUCUUUUUUAAUAAAAUUAUAUGUAGAAGCUACAAUUGGAAGCAAAUAAUUCUCAAUAUGUAUCACAUAACAUAAAAAAUUAAUAUACAAAACAACCAAUAACAAGUAAGCUAAACCAACAUAAAGCGGAUUAAAUCCAUGUAUGGUGAGACUUGAACAUGUUAUUUGAAAGUCUCAAAAUCUUUUUUUUUUUUUAUCUCUUAGAACUCAAAUUAGUGUAUAGCGGGGUUGCUUUUAAUUUUUUGUAUACCGGGGCAGGUCCUUUUGUAAACCUGCAACCGUUUUGGUUUACUAAUACAAGGUAUAAAAUUAUAGCUUUUCAAAAAACUCUUGAUUGUCAUCAAAUUUAGUUAUUUUUAUGUAUAUAUGAAACAAGAACACAGUAGCACUUAGAAUUUUGACUUUUUUACUUGAAAGGUAAGACCUUACUUACCUUUAUUACCUUAUAUAUAUAUAUAUAUAUUAAUUGAAAGAAAAAUAUUUAAAAUUUACUUUUUAAGUAAAAAUUAUAUAUUAAUCAAUGAAUUAAAUGUUCAAAUGUAUGUGUAUGUAUAUAUAUAUAUAUAUAAUAGUAAGUUGUAACUGAUGUUAAUCUUUUGUAAUUAGAGAGAGUAUAACGGAUGUGACAGAAACCUUAUGUUAAGAAGACACCUAUCCAUCCAAUGCAGUGAUUUGCUUUUGCAUGGUGGCCAAAAUAAUCAUGGUUAACUGGUCCACAAAAGUUUCCCUUUUGAAUCAAUUCUUCUUAACAACAUCUGGAGCCCCAUCAAACUCAGCAUUAUCAAAUAUAAAUCCCAUCCCAUCGCUUGCUUUUGCGCUUCCCUCAACCUGAAUGUGACGCCUCUUUUGGAUCGAAUAUCCCCAACUUUGCUCGUUGCCUUUGCCCUUGUUCAUUACAACAUUUCUUCUACCACCAUGUAUCUCUCUUAUUUAUAUCUCUAUGUACAUGUCUUCUCUCAUGGCUAUAGCUGGAUUAGAUUGCACAAUUUCUCUGCCCAAAUGUUUUCUAUAUAUAUACAAACCCAAAUUCAAUGUGAUCUAUAGUUACUUCAACACACCCAAAUUUUUUCAUUUGAUCCAUCACUUAAGACCUCAGUGCUAUUCUAUUUGAAAUCGGUAAAUUUGAAUAUAAUUUUUUGAAUGGGAUAUUAUUUUUUGAAUUUGAUCGUGUGUGAUAAUCGCAUGCAUCACUUGAUUGAAAUUAAAUGGUAAAGGUAAAACGAAAUUUGGAUAAAAAUUUUAAAACAAAAAAUAAAAUAAUAUUAAUUAUUUUUCAUUUUCAAGUUAAAACAUGACAACAAAAUUCUUUUGGAUGUCUUUGAUUUGUAAUUUAAUUUUAUUAUUUGAAUUGCAGAUUUUCCAUAAAAAAAAGGCCAAAAAAGUGUCUCCAUAUAUAUAUAUUUUUUAUGGCCGUUGGGUGUGAAGUGUGAAAUCCAACCCCAAAUUAACGCAAUGAAAAUGGUUAGAUUGAGUCCAUUAGUGUUGGUGAAGAGCAUAGAAAAACAGCAUUAUUAAGGACAAAUAUAUUGAGUGAAAUUGGAGUUGGACCACCAGAGGGGGUAGUUGAUAAUUCUAGCUCAUUCAUUAGCCACGAAAUGUGGGUCUCUUACAUGUCAUUUUCUCACCGAAAGCCCCGUUAGACACGCAAGCGUAGCAGGGUUUGGUUUUUCUCUGAAUCAAAUGGCCCCCCCAAAGUGCCCCUGCCACAUCCCUAGUGCUAGCCUUGCUACUACCUUUAAAUGAAAUGUCCAUCUAUUUUUGGCCCUUUUAUUUGGCCACCAUUGUCACACAUUUCCUUUGAGCCCUCCUAUCCAUCGAUGCUAUGGCACCCCAUUUGUUUUGAUCCGCUGGAUGAUCAUUUUGAUAUAUUACAACUGUCACCAGUGCGGCUAGAUCAAUGCGUUCGGUAGGCUUACAGUCGAGCUAAGCCGGUUCGAACUCGAAGCUCGAGCUUGGUUCAAACUCGUUUAACUUUUUUUAUACUUAAAUUUGACUCAAAAAAUAAUUGAAUUAUUUGAACACAAUUUAUGAAAUUGACUCCAGCACCAUAAGAAUUAGCAAGAUAUAGAAUGUCAUAAUAUCCUCGUCAUUUAGAUUUUUUUCAUAUAUAUUUUUUCUCGAUUUCACAUUUUGAUUUUUAAUACAUGCAAUAUUCUUGUUCAAUUAUUUUAAAUAUGUACAAGUAUUUUUAAUGUAAUUUUUUAUACAAAAUUUUGAGCAACACUGAUUUUUUUGUUAAAAGACGAAAAAUAUUUGUAUGUUUUAAUGUUUAAAAUCACAUUAUAUAAUGAGUGUGAAAUUAAAUACUAAAAAAUUUGGGAAUGCUCAACCCCAUGAAGGGACCAUGGAAAUUAAUAAGGACAAGGAGUAGAUCCUAUCUUGAACCAGCGCUCGAGAGCGAUCCAAGGGUUUGGGAAUAUGGGGACAUAGACAAGUAGGAACGCACUCCCCAUCCUCGUUGUCACUUCUUUUUCAAUGCCUAUUAUAAUUAAACUUUAGUCUAUCUAAACUACACCCAUCCUUUUUUUUUUUUUGAAUUUUAAUUUGCUUUUGCUGUAUUUCUCAAUAUUAAAAAAAAAAAACUUUUGAUUUGAUCAUCUAUCAUUCAAAUAUCAUAUAAGUACCAUCGAUGGAAUGCUAACACGUUAUCUGUAAUUUUUGAUUUGAUCAAUACUUUCUAAUACAACAGCCACAUUCCCACUGUCAUGAUCUUGUGACAUGGCAACUUUGUUAUCAUUUGCAUUAGUUCUGAUGAUGGGAUUGAAGAAUCACAAAUUCAUAACAAAAACAUUAGGGACUCUAUUGAAUGUUUCCAAAUUAAUUGUACUAGUAGCUACAACUCAAAAAUCACAAACAAUGCAAGCUUAUUGCUCUCUACAUCUCAAUGUUGAAUGUUCAUCUUUCUCUUUCAAGUUAUCUUAAAGCAAUUGUGCCAUUUCUUUUUCUUCUUUUAGCGUCUACAACUUUCUCUUUUACAUCCCAUAAUUUGUGUUUAAUAUCUUUUUAGAGAUUUACUUUCAGACAAGAUGUGAUAAAAUAAGUUAAUAAUCUACAUCGAGUCUAUAAUUGGGUUGUACAUGACAAUGCAUUCGAGUUGACAUUUUACGUAAUUGUUAUCCAAUUUAUAUAUAUAUAUAUAUAUAAUUUACUUUUUUAAAAAGAAGUUAAUAACCUGUGUUUAUUUCUUUUGGAUCCAAAUUCCUCGUAUCAUGUAAGGUGAUACAAAUACUAUUAAUUUACUAAAAAAAUUUUCUUAUUUUCUUAAAAUUUUUAAAAAGUAAUUUGUGAACAACUUUAUUGAUCAAGCCAAUCAUGAUAAGCACAUGUGAACAAGCGUGCUUGGUCGUGACGGGCCACAGAUGUUUAAUCGUCGGGUUGCGAACGUUCCCAUUACCCUAAAAACAAAGCUACUAACAAUAAUUCAGUCAAUUGGUCAUUUUCAACGUAAAGCUUAAUGUUACUAGCAGGGAACAUAUACACGUAAAUUAAAUAUAGACUUGAAAAGGUACUGUUGAAAGCAUGGAAUCUAUAACCUAACUUUUACAAGUACAAAUUAAAUGACCAGAUUGAAAAGGAAAUGGUAAAGAUAAGACCUGAGAUGUACAGUGUUGGUCCUCUUUUGGGACGACUCAUUCAAAUAUGCAUCAUUUGAAGAAAAAAAAAUUUCAACUUUGAAAGAGGAAAUGACAAUUGAUAAAAAUGUCUUCUCCUAGCUGCCAUAGAACUUUCCAUUUUCAUUUCCCAUUACUUCAACUUAAACUAUAAGUUGAUAUAUAAGGCCCAGAUGACAGUCUAAUUGAACCAUAAUUUUGCCUUUAAAAGGGAAGUUUUUUAAAACAGUACCGCUUCUCUUUAGGGCUCAACUAUUAAAAAUAAUUAGAAUAAUAAGUUUAUCAAUGAGUGCUUCCGAAUAUUAUAUUUAUAUAUAACAUAUUUCAUCCCUAAACAAAUUUAUUUAUUUUUAUGUAUAAAAAAAGCAUACUUUUUUCCUUUUUUUUUCUACAAUGUAAAAUAAUAAUAACUUUCCAAUCCCCAUUGUGAUUCUCUCUAUACCACUACUAUAGUUAGAUUCAACCUCGACUAAUUUCCUUUUAUUUUUUUUUAAAAACAAAGUAUGAAUAUAUUAAUUGAAAGAGGAAAAAGAUCCUUCAUUCCGUCAUUUACAAAAGACCUGCAAUACAGCAAAAAUCAUCUGUAGGGGGCAAAGUAGUCCAUGGAGAGACGCAAGGGUAGAGUGUCACGAACUACACUCUUUCACUUAAGUAGACGAUAGUCUAUGCUGUACUUGAGUAGACGUUUCCACGCAAGCUAGCUAAUAACUCGUUUAUAUCUGAUCAAACAUCAACAAUAGUAACAAAUUAGACUAAGGCAAUACACAUUGAAAUCAUAAGGUAUACUGAAUGCCAUAUAAGCAACCACUGAAACCAAAUAAAAAAAAAUAUUUUAUUAAUAUAAAAAUGAGUACAAAGAGAACAAGACCCGCCAUCAUCGGGCUAUAAAGGCAACUUUAGAUGAUUCGCUACAAAUAUUCCUUUACUAGUGAGGCAGCUGAACAAUCCUCCGACUACUCACCACUUGUAAAGAGUUUACGAGAUUUUACAAGUAUUCUACCAAUAGCCAUUACAAUACUUGAAAUGAGGACAUUCUUUUGCUAAAGGGUCUUUUCCCUUAUAGACUUAACAAAUAUUUCUAGACAUGUCACAAUAAGCCAUUACAAUGUUUGAAUGGGGAACAUUUUCCUCACAAUUACAAAAGAAUCAAUAUCCUAGACAACUCUAGCCUAUCAUAGUCCGAGACAAGGUUGACUCAUGACAGGGAGCCUCACAUAGUUUUGGGGGCCAUAAUUCUUAAAUUUUUUUAUAUUAUAUAAAAAUUUUAAAGUCUUUAAUAUAUUCUCUUAACGGCCCCUUCAAUAAUUUUUUAUUUAAUAAUUAAUAUAAAUAAAGAAUAACAAAAAAUACCCCAUAUGCUUCACUCAAUUUUAAAGUUUUUUUUUUAUUUUUUUAAUUUAUAUUAUUAUACUAUUUGCUCAUAUGCUCUAAGUUUCUGUGGAUUUGCUUUUUCAAAUUUCUACAAAUCAUCAACCAUAUUCUUUUUCUUUUUUUUUUGUUAUGUCAUAUGUAAGUUCCAUCUUUUACUUGUUAUGUUCAUUUUUUUCUAUUAUGUGGAUUUUAUUUUUCAUGAUUUUAAUUUUUAAAAAUUAAUAAAUUAUUAUAUAAUUCUCAAAUAUAAGUUGUAACGUUACAUUGUUGCUUAAAUUUUAUCAAUGUAUAAUUUUUUAAUUAAACCUGAUUAUGUAAGAGGAAAUUAUGUUGAGUAUAUCUUUUUUAUAUGCUUUACAUUUUAUAUUAAAUUAAAAGGAAAUUAUUUUGAAUAUAUAGUCUUUAAAUAAUUUUAAUUAUAUAAGAAAAAAUUAUUAAUUUUGUAUAUCGUAUUUAACAAUUUAUAUUUUAUGCAUUAUAAUUUUAUAUUUAGUAUUAUAAGUUUAAAUAGAAAUAAAAUAAGAAUAAUGGAUGUUGAAUGCAUUAAUUUUUUUUUGAAGUUUGAUAAAUUGAAAACAAUUAACAAGUUCUUUAAAAGAAAAAAUAAAAAUUGUCCAAAAGAUUCUCUUAUGCUUAAGCCAUCAAGCCUUAAUACUUCAACUCAUGAACAAAAGUAAUGUGGGUCAAAAUGUCCAACACUCAAUCUUAAAGAAAUGGAUUUUUUCAAGACCUAAUUUUUAAUCGAUUAAUUUGAAUUCAAACAAUAUAAUCAAGCACAACUUUCCUUAAAAACUAUUGUAAGUUUUUCUUUUAUUGAUUUACAUGUUAUAUAAAAUUAUUUUCUAUUAACAACCUUUUGAUUAUUAAUUAAGUUCAAUAUAUUAAUUUUUAAAAUUUUUAACUUUUAUUCGUCUAUCUCUGACCCCCCCAAACAAAAGUUGGCUAGCUCUGUCCUUGGAGUGAUGGACUAACCCUUGAAUAGGAAAUGCUAUACAAAAUAUUAUGUACAUAGGAAACUCAAUACCAAGGUGGCAUCAUACAAAAGUAAACAUAAAGGUUGAGAGCCAGUAGAAUCUAUCAACCACAACACAUGGAGAUUAGAAAACAAAAUUAAGUAAACGAGCAACAAGAGAAGAAGAAACUGUGCAAACAAAUUCUCUUAGUUAGGCACCCUAGUGGUAUGUGCUGCCUCAUUAAUAACCCAUAAAAAGUCAAUUGGCCAUAGGACUCCAUCUUUGACCAAGUAGUCAACCUCACAAUUCACAUAUCUAGGUAUUUGUUUUAUAUGCCAACUAUUAAUUCUAGCAAGUGCAUUAUGAGUUUGCAUAACCAAGGUUCUCAAUCACAAAUGCACAUUAACAAGAUUAGAUAUCCAUUUGACAACAUUAGAAUUAUCACAUUCAAGAUGUAGAGUAUGGUUGGAACACCACUUAGAGGCUACAAGUAUGAUGGUAGCUUCUUUAACUGCCAAGAGUUCCACUUUAUUAGAGUUCGAAAUGCCUAUUGACUUUAAAAAGAGAAUAAAGACGCUACCAAACUCAUCCCGUAAGAUGUAUCCAAUGCUGGAGUCUCCUGGGCAGCCUCGAACAGAACCAUCAAUAUUGAAUUUAAGAGACCUAGCCACUGGCCCGGACCAGACUUCCACUUUCUUGUUCAUCUUAGAGUUGCUUGGGUUAGUGAUUGUCCCUUCAUUAACGAGCUUGGCAAGGUUGCUUAUCGAGGUGUUAAUCUCUGGCCAUUUAGUUUUAAUCCACCAACUCUGAAUUUUAAGAGAUCAAAGAUCUGUUCACAGUCCUAGAUUUUCCCUUUGAAAAUAACGUAAUUUCGAGUAGUCCAAAUGGCCCAAACAAUAACGUACCAAGCCAUUUUUCAAAUCACACCGUUAUGAAAGGAGUUGGUAGUCUUAAGCUAUGUCAAGAAACAAAUAAUCAAGUACUCAUGGACCACUUAAUGAAAAUUCCACAAUGAUGACCAUUUUUGCCAUAGUUGCCAAGAUUUGUCACACAUAAAAAAUAGAUGGCUUACUAAUUCCAUGCUGAGGCGGCACAACAAGCAAGUGGCUGUAUUAGCACUAAUGAUGCCUUGGUUGACUAGAGCUUCUUUUAUCGUAAGCCUUUUCCUAAUAAUUUGCAGACAGAGAACUUCAAUUUUAAGGGGAGCAAUACCUGCCCUGAUAAGCUUCCAAUGGUUUGCUGGGGUGGUGUUAGGAGACAUACUUGGCAGCUGUAGACACUAUAUUUAAAAAAAAAAGAAAAAAAUAAAAAGAAAAUGAAAAAAUGUGUACAACUGGCAAGGUGCGUCACCACUCUCUUUGCCAGACGCGAAAAACUCGCGUUUGGCAAAGUAGUGGGAUGAUACACUCAGCCAAAAAUCGAGUGUAUAAAGGGAGGCACUGUAGCAGCUACAAGGGGAGGAACCGAGCAAUCAAAAAAGCAAAAAAAAAGCAAUAAAAAAAAAUCCCUAGCAACAAACAGCAACCAAAAAAAAACCUAGCCGAAAAUGCCAUCAAACACUCUAGUUUAGCAGCAAACAAUCAACCACAAUCAAUAGUAAAAAAUCAAUAAAAAAAUGCAAAAAAUAGGAGAAAUAGGAGGUGAUUUUUUAGAGUGUGGGUUUUAAUUUUUAGGGGGAGAUUUAGAUUUUUAGGAGGGAUUUUGGGUAACCGGUGGAGUGUUUUAGUUUUUGGUGGUUCAAAUCUGGUGAGAGAGACCUUUUUUUUUGUUGCCGAUUAAAAGAGAGAUUUUGGGGUAGCUGCCGGCGGAAGGAAGAGAUUUGUUGGAGAGGGGCGACCUCGGCGACCUUGAGCGGUUGCAGGGAGGACAGAGAACCGAGGUGAAUUGGCAAAGGGAAGAAGCCCGAUUGACGUCCGUUAGAGGAGAGAGGACGCCGGUGAAGGGAGGAAGCCCGAUCGGUGCUAGUUAGAGUAGAGAGAGAGGGUCGGUCAGGGUAAUCGGCGGUGUCGUCGAUUCAAGAGGUCCGAUUUGGGAUGGCUGUUAGAGGGAGAGGAAGCUGGUGAGAUUUUAGAGAGAAGGCAAAGAGAUUUGUUUCUAGAGAGAGAAAAUUGUGAAGGAAAUGAAGAAGAGAGGAGGAAAAGAAUGGUUUUAUACUUAGGGCUUGGUGGCAAAAUGACAUAGUUUUGGGAGAAUUAAAAAAAAAACCCUUCCUAGGUGUUUGAAACGACGACGUUUUGAUAUUUGAGGGAGACUGCUAAAGUGGGCCGACCCAAACCCAAGAGGAGUCAUUAGGUUCCUUAGAGGUCGGGCUUCAAUAGUCCAAAUUUGGUAUGGACUCUUUUGGACUUUACUGUUUGGAUUGGUAUUGUGUUAUUGGUUUAUUGUUCAUUGGGCCAUUUAUUUUUAGUAUUAGUUAUAAUUUAGGUUUCUAAAUUUAAAAAAGGCUUGCUUUUAGUUUAAUUCAAAGUCACUAAUCAAAAUAAUGACUUAUUAUUUAGAUAAUAUCGAUGAUGGGAUGAUCAACUGGGACGCGAGAAGUUGCAAUCUCGGGUCAAUUUUUCUUAGGUUCAGAAUUCGAAUUAGGGCCCCACCAGUGCGAUGGGAGGGCCUCGAUUUCAAGAUUUCGAAAUUUUUAUAAAUAAAAAUUUAACAACACAAAAUCAUUCAAAAAAAAAUAAUAAAUAAGUAAAUAAUAGAUAAAAAAAGAAGAAAAUAAAAAUAAUAAUAAUAAUAAUUCAAAUAUGUAUAUAAUAAAUUUGUGAAAAGGUAAUAUCCAUGACAUUAAAUAAAUAGACAAAUAAUAAAAACUAUUAAUAAGGAAAAUCCAAACAAUAAAUAAUUUAAAAUUAAGCGUUAAAUAACUAGUGGUACAAGGCAUAGAGUAAUAAAUAUUAUGUAAAAGAAAUAAGAUAAGAAAUAGGAAAAGCUUAGAAUAAAAAUAAAAUAUAAAAGAAUAAAAUAGAAGAUAUGAUAAUAAAAAAUAAAAUAAAAUAAUAAUGAUAAAGAUAGUUAAUUGCAUUUAGCAUAGCAUAUAUUGCAUCAUGCAUAUCAUUGCAUAUAGAUAUUUUUAUUUACGAUUUAAGCCCCGAUGAUGGGAUUUUUUCGAAGAUCUUACGAAGGCGAGUUUAUCUCGAAAAGUUCAUUAGGUGAAAAGGUACCCCCUGGGUCCCACUAGUAUGAUGGGAGGGCUCAAAUAACAUCUUUAAUAAGAGGCUUUAGCUCGUAUUAGGUUCAUUAUUCACGAAAACAUUAUUUUCGAAGGAAAAAAUGUACAAUAACCUCGAUGAUGGGAAUUAUUCGUUGAAUUUACGAAGGUGAAUUUCUCGGAUAAUUCUCUAGGUGAGAGAACACCCCGGAUCCCACUAAUAUGAUGGGCGGAUUCGGGAGAACGUUCUCGAUAAAAGGUUAUUCGUCCGACAUCUUUUAUCUCAUACCAUGCAUUUCAUCUUGCUUCACAUUUGCAUUCCAUUUUAGGUUGAAUAGAAGAUAAAAUAAGUGAAUAAUAGCUAAGGAAAUAAAAUGAACUUAAAAAAUAAAGCCCAAUAGGAUAAUCUAAAAAUGGUACCGUUCAUGAAACGGACGUUUCGGGGGUGCUAAUCUUUCCCCGAUCGUUACCGUACUCCCGAACCUAGAUCUAGAAAAACGUAGACCAGUUUAAAAUUCUAUCGACGAGGCUUAAAAUUAAUUUAAGACUUCGUCGAUUAGUAUCGAGUCAAUAGGUGGCCAAUCACACCUAGAAAAAAAAAAAGAUUGGUGACGACUCUUAAUUUUUUAGAGUUUUCACUCACGUCUAGCGGUCGGGUUCCCAAACCCGCACGUUACGACAACAACAGAAAAAGAUGGGAGUGAAAUUACCACAACUAUUGCCUUUUUACACAAGUUUAUCCUGGAAAAUGUUGCUAAUGAUUUUUUUUUAUAUAUAUAUGAAAGAGAGUUUCCCAUUGCUCAUUUUCUCAACCAAAAAUGCUCUUGUGAAGAUCAAUUCUCCAUGUCCACUCAUCACUAAUCCAACUGCCAAAGUCCCUAAUGCAACCUUCCUUUUUAGUUGCUAAAGCAAAAAUUCGAGGAAAUGCUUACUUAUGAAUGGUACUGGAGAUCCACUCAUCAUCCCAGAACCUAACACGCUGGUUGUUUCCCAAGGUGAUUCCCAUACCUUUAACAACAAAUGAACUAAAAUCGCAAGCACCUACUAGCAGCUUGGUUAUGUUUUUCCAUAGAGCAAAGCCUUAUUGGCAAUCCCAAUGCUUGGGGUAAUUCCAUUACCAUGAAGACUAGCUUUUUCACAAACAAUUCGCCUCCAUAGGUUGUUUGGUUCAUUAACAUAUCGCCACAGCCACUUGUUAAGAAGAACUUUAUUUUUUAACCCAAGAUCAACCAGACCAAGGCCACUAAGGUCUUGAAAAUUACAUUCAGAGUUCCAGCUCACAUGAUGAAGCCUGCGAACUAAAUUAGGGCCAUCUCAAAGGAAUCGUCUUAGUAUUUUUUCGAUUGAUGCUUUAAUCUUGAUCAGCAUUUGGAAGAGAGACAUUUGAAAGACGGGAAGACUGCUUAGAGCUUACUUGAGCAAGGUAACAUGCCCCCCAUUGAAAGUGUUUUGGCCUUCCAAGAUGAUAAUCUGCCCUUGAAUUUUUUAAUCACCAAUUGCCAAAUGCUAGAAGAGCAUAAAGAGGCACUCAAAGGAAGACCAAGAUCGGUGCUCGGGAAGCACCCAACUCCACAGUAAAUCAUAGUAGUCCAAUCACAAAUCUGAUCAUGACUAAUACUGACUUUGUAAAUGUGGCUUUUAUGAAAAUUGAUUUUCAGACUGGAAACCACCUGAAAGCAUCUCAGCAACCGUUUAAUAUUUAACAAAUGAAUGAGAUUCAGUUCAUAAAGAAUUUUCGUAUCAUCGACAUAUUGUAGAUGUGAGACACUAAGGCCAGUGUCCCCUAUCAAUAUACCUUUAGUGAGCUAUCACUCCUUUGCUCUAUACAUAAGGGCACUAAAAGCUUCUACCACUAGGUUGAAGAGUAAUAGCGAAAGUGAAUAGCCUUAUCUAAGGCCUCUUUUCAUAAGAAUUUUUUUGAUGUGGGAGCCGUUGACUAAGAAUGAUUAAUGGCAUUAAAGAUAGGAAAAUGCUAAAACAUAUAACAAUUUGAUUGUCUAUUUAUAAUUUAUUAUUUUCGUAUCAUUCUGUGAAUAAUUGAAUUAUUUAGGUAAAACGAUAUUACUCCUAUAAAGUUGAAUUCAAUUGUUAUAAGUUCUCCAAAUGUGAAGUACAUUGUCUAAUCCAAUCUAAUAACAUGAAAAUUGUCUUUUGACAAAUUAAUUUAAGAUUCUAUUACGGCUUGAUAUUCAUGAGUACACCCGUCCUUGACGUCCUUUUUGCUUAAAGGAAUGAAAUGACUCUUUUCAACAGUAUGUAAAUAGUAAUUAACCUUUCUUUACCCUUCCCCUUGUAACAAAUAAUCUUUUUUUUAAUCAACGUAUUAACUCUGUAGUAAUAAUAUCAAAUUUUAUAAUUCACUGUUAAGUUCUUUAUAUAAUUAUGUUAAACAAUAAGGUAAGAGAAAUAUAUUAAAUAGCUAGUGUGCAAUAAGAAUUUUUUUUUCCAUACAGAAGGCUGUAAUGCUUUCAUAAAAGAGCAGCAUAAUCUUUUGUUACUGCCUCAUAUAGAGAGGUUGAAUGGAAUGUAGAUGAUGAAAUAGUUGUCCAAGUGGGGACAAGUAUUGAUAAUUACAAAUCGAAAUUGAGUGAGGUUGGAUUUAUGGAUGAAAUAGAAUGUCAAAUUAUGGGAUAGGAACAAAAAAUGCCUCCACCCCUCCGUUGCCUAUGCCUAAAUUAUUUAGUUAGAAUAAAGUUUAAUGAAGGGAUGACAUUAAUCUAACUAAUUAUCCAUUCAAAUGGGUGUAUAGAUUAAUUACAAGAUUUCUUACACACCGAAGAUUCACUCCUUAUCUCCAUGCUUAGAGACGAAUGAUCGAUGAGCAUCCACGUAAUACGACGCACUCAUUAUUAAUUCCGAAACAGAUAGAAGGAGAAAGGGGGAAAUAUAAAAAAUUUACGUGGGACCCACGUGCACACCCACGUGCCAGUCCCCACACAAAAGCUUCCGGUGAACUUCAUUUGGACUUUUAUUAUUUUUUAUUAGAAAAGAAAAAGAAAUCAAUGCCAAAAGAGCGGGUCCCAUCACCGUACGAUUAUCUCUCUGUACACGCGUCCACUUGCGAUCACAUUUUCUCGAAAAAGGGGACCCACUGGCCUUUUAAACGCUUGAAAAUCGUCCCUUACACUCGUCUAAUCAAGAGCACGCUCGCGUAAGUGCGGCCCCACGGUUAAGAUUCUGGUCUCCCUACCAAGUAGAGGGACCCACACACCAAUCAAUUCGUAGGGACCCCACGUGUCGAAAGGUCAAUGGAUUAGCCAAUUGAGAACUUGUGGGGCUUCGGAGUACAAUAAUUUUUCUGUUGUGGAUAUAUUCUUGAGGGCGUCGUUGUCGGUUGAAGGCACGGGACACGUGUCGACCCAUGAGGUGUUUGCUGAUUGAGGGGUAAUCUACCUCAUAUUUUAUGGGGUGACACCUUGUACAAGUCCAUCAUUUUCAGAAAAUGAUAGUUUAGCCCCGUUUGUUUAAGUCGUUUUGGAAUUAUAUACCCCUAUUCGCUGAAUUGUGUUGAGGGCCGCAAAGCAAUUGCGAUUUGUGUUUGUGUGUGUCGGUAAGUGAUCUUAUUUUCUAUAUUUUAAUCUAAGAAUUUUAGAGAUAUUAAAGAAAGGGAAAGCAAGGGGUUAGUUAUUCUCGAAACAAAAAUAUGUGGUCACUGUUUCAACGUGUAAUUGACAGUAAUCCAUGUUACAAUUAUUUUAUCUUUAUCGUAUAUAAAUUUUUUUUAAUUCUUUCUAAUUGCAAAAUAAUAAAGUAAUAAAGUCUAGUAUAAAGGUAUCAAAAUGUUAUUAUUUGUGAAAAAUAUUAUAAAUUUCAAAUAUUUUAUAUAAUUUUUUGACUUAUAUUUCAACUAAAUAUUAACCCUUAAUGUCCAAACUAACAUCUAAUCUGAUUGCGACUCGCAAUUCAAUUCUUCUACUCUAUUUUUGUUGGUGAUAAUCUCGAGUUACGUUUUAAAUAUAUACAAAAAAAGUGAAUAGAGGGAUAAGUAACUUUUAAUUUUCAAACAUAAAAAAAGAAAUUGAGGACAAAACUUUUCAUAAUUUAAGAUUUUGAAAAUAACCUUGCACCAAAGAAAAAGAUUGAAUGAAACUUGUCAAUUAACAUUUAAGAAAACGUUAAUUGGAACGUCCAAAACAGGGAACCCACAAAAUCGAAGGUGUUUUAUUGUAUUGAGCAAUUAGUUUUGGUAUUAUGGUAGGCCUACACCUUUUUUCGGAGUAGUGAAAUUUUUCUACAAUUGUUCUAUCAAAGUGAGUCCCACAAAACCAUCAAAUUGCCUUGGCGGCUUUUUAGCAAAUAAAUCCACAGAAAGAGUAGGUCCUACAUGCAAAGAUGUCAAUUAACUGCCCUAUAGCAAUUUGUAGGGUUUCACACAUUGGUCCUCUCUUAUGGAUAUAUUCUCAUAUGCCCAUCCUUUUCAAAAUAACUAUUGGGUUAUGUUUCAUAUUCAUUGUGCUUCAUUGCCCUACUACUCUACUCCUAACUUGUGCAAAGAUUGUCAUGGCGCAUGCUUCAAGCCAAUUUUGUUCAUGACAAAACCUACAUAAAGCUUGCUUUUCAGACUAAAUUUGUCGCUUUUUCUCCAAAAAUGGUUUUUUCAUUUAUAGAUAUCAUUUUCUCAAUUAGUUGGUAAAACUCUUUUGGUUGUGCAAAUAAACUUUGUAAGAGAAAGCUAUAGGGAAGGGAAGGAGUCUAGUUUGCAUCUUGUCAAAAAAAUUCGUUAUUGCUUUUCUGAAAUGGAGUUCAUCAUAAGAUUAUUAUGCUGCCUAGGGUAUAAGGAAAACGGGUGAAUUACCAUCUUGUCAAACACUUCGAAGUUUCCUUUUUUUUUUUGGUUGGCUCAAAAAUACAAACACUUUUAAAUGGUUGCUCAGCUACAAUUUCUUUCUUUCUUUCCUCCUACAUUCCAUGCGUCGCGUCAAACAAUUAAUUGGUGGAAUAGCACAUUUUUCCUUGUUCGUUUUUCUUCCCACCUUUCUCGUUUUCCAUUUGUAAUUAAGGGAAACUACAAGCUAUUGAAUAUGUUAAAAUCAUCCACACAUAAUUACCAGCUGAAUCAUCUAAUCAUAGGCAGCACAUAAAAUCAUUAAGCAUUAAAGGUAUAUUAAGGUUUUCUUUAUUUCACUUUUAUGCAUCGGGAAACAAAUUAGGUUUUUUAUAUAAAAUAAAUUAAGUUUUGAAAACCCUCAAAUAUGAUUAGUCAGAUUUAUGAAAUAAAAAAAAAUAUUUCUCGUUGAAUUACUCGAAUCACCAUGAACCUGCAUCUUUAGCAGAACUUUUGAGCCGCAUGUAGAUGAUCAAACCAGACCUAAGCAAUGAUCGGGUCUUUGACAGCCUAAAACUUUUUUUUUUUAAUAUUUUUCUUCUUCAUUUGCUUAAAGAAAUCAAAUUACAUUGCCACCCAUAUAAAAGAGUAUACUAUAGAUUAUGUAAGAUUAAGUCAGCAUUGUUUCUUACUUUUUAAAUUGGUAUACCUAAAUUAUCAUUAAAUUAGCGGAGGUGGGUGGGUUUAAUUAAUAAAUGAAACCCAAUAAUGGUUGUUGUAGUUUGAAAGUCUUUUCUAGGGUCCCAUAGAAAGGGAAGAUCUCAUCUAAAUUCAUAUAUUUUCGUCACUUUUCCAUCUCAUUUUCAACUAAUUAAGCGAUAAUCAAGCUCAAUCUGAAUCUCAAUCUCAACUUCAGAACUAUAGGAUAGAACUUUAACUGUUCUCUAUAAUGUCCGAUAUGAAUGUCGGAAUUACACUUUCAAGUUAAUUAGCACUAUAUAUAUAUAUAUAUAUAUAUAUAUAUAUAUAUAUAUAUUAUAUAUAUAUUUAACUCCCAUGCAAAUGAUAGAUUCUAACAAUAUUUAUAUAUGUAAAAUCAUUGUCCUUGGUACUGUUUGACAUUUCAGUUUUUCCAUGUAUGUUUUUCCAACAACUUUAUGUAGUUUCCUUUAAUAGAAAGCAUUUCAUGUUUGAGAGUUUCAGAUGAUAGCACAUUUUUAUAUAUGUAAUGCCUAUUUGCACUGCUUUACAGCCAAUGAGAGAUGAUGAAAACCAUCGUUGUACUUGAUGUUAUGUGCGAAAGAGAUUGGAAGAGAGGUAACUAUUUUCUGACUGACAUUUUUUUUAGUAAAAGCAAAUAAAAUAACACCCGUAGAAGGUUCAAUCAAAGCUUUUUAAUUGCUCUUUCCCAUAAGAUUUUAUCUUUUAUUAGCAUAUCAUAGACAUGAGUUGGCGGAGGAAGAUAAAAAGAAAACCUUUUUAAGUUAUGGACAACAACUAUUUCAACAUUUAAUUUUUGUUGAUGAAGAGAUUGUUCAACAUUGCUGGACAAGUUCUAUGAAAACGAUCGGGCUUUCCUUUUUAAUUACAUAGAGAGGUACAUUUGGAUUGAAAACGUAACAAUUACAAAGACCAAACUUGGCUUGUUGAAAGCGAUAUUCUGGUUUGUAAGACUUCUUCUCUUUCAAGUUAAAACCUUAUUACUAUAAAACAGAUUCUAUGGUCAAAUAUAUUUCGAUUCCUUUUGUCAACAUUUGUAUCUCCUAUUAUAACACGUAACAUCAAAAGCAGCCUGCAGAAAUUAGGUACGAAAUUUCAUCAAUCUUGAAAAGCAAUGCCUGUAUGUCCACAUAAGAUUUGAGUGCGAAGAUGACUGACAACAUAUAUGGAUUUUUCUUUUAUAUCACAUUCGUGCUUGAACACGCGACAUUUUAGUUGUCUCUCUUCUCGAUUCGUUUGUAGUGGUGUUAUGAUUGUGAAUUUUAGCCUUAAUUAGUUGCCAACAUCUUGGAUCAGAUUCUCAAAGGGUAUCUAAAGAUUUUAUGCUCUUACAAUUAAAUUUUGAAAAUGAAUCUCCAAAGCAGAUUGAAGAACUUGUAAAUUUGUAUAGAAUAUAUAUAUAUUCUUUGUUGUGGAAAAUAUUGUGUAGUCUAAGAGUUAACUUAUUGUUUGUGGGCUAUUGUAGAAAAAUAGAGAUGAAAUGUAGGUUCGUUAAUAUUUAUGCACUGAAGGACGAUAUAGAGAGGGAAUCAAUGUGGGAAGAGUAAGGUGGUCACUUAAGAAUGAGUGAGGUCUCGUGGUGUUUGGACGGAGAUCUUAAUAUGACAAAAGUUGUAAAGGAAAAAAUCAAAAACUUUGUGAAUGAUGUCGUUAUUAUAAAGUUUAGAGAUUUUAUAGAAGAGAUGGAGUAGGUGGACCUUCUCAUGAUAGGGGGGCAGGUCUGCAUGGUGCAACAACAUAGACAUCCCUUCAUACAACGGGCUUGAUAGAUUCGUCAAUGGGGUUGAGUUCUUAGAAAGAAAUUAGAACUUGAUAUAGGAGUGUCUACCAAGGUCUUUAUUGGAUCAUAAUGCAAUAGUGGUGAGAGGAAUAAUAAAGAAUUAGGGACCUAAACCAUUCCAAUAUUUCAAUCAUUAGAUAGAGAAAGAAGGGUUCCACGAACUUGAAUAGAGUGUUUGGGGGACCACUCCUUAAAUAGGGGUAUAAGGAAGGUUGAAGAAGCCGAAAAUAACUACUAUUAAAAUGUGGCAUAAAGUAGACAACAUAAAUGAUCAACUCCUGAUCUCUAGCCUGGAAGGUGAAAUCAAAAAUCUUGAAGGGGAGAUAUAAGAGGGAGAUAGUAAUGAAAUUAAAAAGAAAGAAGUAAGGAGAAAGACAAUCAAGCUAUGGUCAUUAUAUAGAGAUGUGGAAAGGGAUUGGUAACAAAAGUUGAGAAUCAAGUGGUACUUGGAGGGAGAUAGAACCUCAAAAUUUUUCCACAUGGUAGCAUUGGCAAAAAGGAGGGUAAAUUGUAUUGACAAAAUUUUGGUGAAUAGCUACAUAGUUGAAGACCCGUGACACUCAAAGAGGCAGUGUCAAAUUAUUCUGAGUCUUUCUAUGGUGCUAAAACUGCUAUCAAAGUUGAAGGUUUCAAUGGAGAGUUCAAAAGGCUAAAAGAACAAAGUUUUUCUUCCCUUGAAAAACCGUUCUCUGAAAGUGAAGUUUGGGAGAUCAUUUUAGGUAGUGAUCACAACAAGGCACCUAGUUCAGAUGAAUUCAACUUGAACUUUUUCAAAAGUAAUGGAGCAUGGUAUAAGGUGAUAUGAUGAAUUUUAUCAUGAUUUUCAUAACAAAUUUUCUUUUGACAAGUGCAUUAAUUCCAUUCUUUAUCACACUUAUACCAAAGCAUGUGUGUCCAAUGGGACUGGGUGACAAAAAACCUAUAACCUUAGUGGAAUAUCUUUUACAAAAUUCUUGGAAAAGUCCUCAAGGCUUAGAAUGAUGGUGAAGGGGUGACUGGAUGUAACAAAUUUAUUUUUUAUCAAAGGGAGAUAAAUAAUCGAUUGUUCAUAGAUUACCAAUGAAGUCAUUGACCUACUGAAGAAGGAUAAUUGGCGAUUAUUCUUUAAAGUAUAUUUUGAGAAGACUUAUGGUAGCAUAGAUGAAGAUUUUCUUGAGUUUAUCACGUAUAAUAUGAGAUCAAGGAAAGGGAGCAAAGGUGGAUUAGGACUUGCAUCUGUUUGACUUUGUUUUUUAUCCUAAUAAAUGGGUCACCCACAUGCCAAUUCUUAAUGAGAAAAGGUUUAAAAUAAGGUUGUCUGCUUUCACCCUUCAUAUAUAAUAUUGGGGAAAAUGCUUUUAGUGUACUUAUGGAGAAGGCAUAUUCUAUCAGACUAAACAAAGACAUUGCAGUUGGCAACAAUGGUAUGGCCAUAGUCGAUCUUCAACACGCUAAUGACAUAGCUAUUUUUUGCAAACUAAAUUUGAAAUACCUGCAAAAUGUGAAAAGAGUCUUGAGAUAGUUCGAAGUGAUUUCAAGGUUGAGAAUUAAUUUCUAUAAAACAACAUUUUUGGAAUUGGUGUUAACCAUGAGCUGCUAGCUUAGGUCAUCGAAAUUCAUUGUAAAAUGCACAAACUCUCAACCACCUACUUAGGAAAUCUGUUGGGAGCAAAUGAUAGAUCUUUAAAGGUAUGGAAACUAGUGAUAGAAAGAUUCAAAGCCAAACUUUCAAGGUGGAAGUCAAAGAUGAUGUUUAUGGGUGGAAGAGCUACGUUGUUAACAUUAAUGCUUACAAGUAUGUCAAUAUACGUUAUGUCACUAUUCCAAAUCCUAUGUGGCAUCAAGGAAUACCUGUAUAGAAUUUAGAAAAGGUUUAUUUGGAGCAAGUUGUAGGAAAAUGCAUUUAGUAGAUUGGAGAAUCGUGUGCUCAAACAAAAAUGAUGGUGGGUUACGCAUUGUGGAUCUAAAGCUUAAGAACAGUGCAUUAUUGAAAAAAUGAAUAUGGUGGUAUGGUAAUGAACAUAAUAGAUUAUGUAGAAUGGCCAUCGUAGAGAAGAAUGAUGGGGAUGUAUCCUUAUGGUUCCAGAACAUAGACACACUAGGAAAAGGUUAGAUAUUUAAAGGAAUAUUGCAAGCCCUUUGUUCUCAUCUAUUAGUUUUGUUCCACAUGUUUCUUUCAAUUUUGGUUUUACUAUUAAGGAUGGAAACAAAGUUCAUUUCUAGACAGAAGAAUAGAUCCAUGAGGUAAUCCUCAAAAAUGUGUUUCUUAGGAUCUUUUCCCUAGCAGUUAAUAAGGAAGAUGUGAUUAAGGAGUUUGAAGAAUGGAGGGAUGAAACAUGGGGUUGGAUAAUUGAGUUGAGACGUAGAGUAUUUGAUUAGGAACCUACUCAAGGGAAUCAUUUAAAAGAAACAUUUCUAACAUUUUUCUUGGAAAGGAUUUUCAAGACAAAUUAAUGUGGAAAGGUGUUCGCAGUGACAACUACAUUGCAAAAGCUUUUUAUAGGAAAGUGAAUGGAAGGAAUUAACGAACUCAGACAUAUGGAAAUAACUAUGGGUGAGUUUAGCUCCUCCGAAGGUGAAAAUAUUCCUAUGGCAAGUUUUGAAGGGUAAAGAUGUGGAUAAGGAGGAAUUAAUCAAACGAGGACUGAUUGAUAGUGGAUUAGCAAUUUCUAUGCUAUACAAAAAAAGGAAUGAAUCGGUUGCUCAUCUUUUCUUUUUGUGUGAGGAAUCAUGGAAGGUUUGGAACAUGUGGUGCUAUUGUUGAGGCAUUAAGUGGGUAUCUUUUAUCGUGGCUUGCCAAUUUUUUAUAAUGUGGAACACAUUAAGCAUGGACUUUGAAGGAAAAGUAAUAUGGCGUAAGGCGUUCUGUGGUAUUGUUUGGUUAAUCUGGCUUUACAAGAAGGACAUAGUGUUCAAUAGUAAGUCAUGGAAUAGUGUGGAAACAUUUGACAUUAUUAAACUAAAGAUCACAUGGUGGCUUAAAGCUAAAAAAAAAAAGAGGAAAUAAUCUCAGUUUUGGAUGUAUAUCGAUGUCCAAACAAGGUCACCAUAAUGAGAAAGGCUAAAUGUUAAGGAACAAACAUAUAUGGGAAAAACCACCAUAUGGGUCACUUAAAUUCAAUGUUGAUGGAUUUGCCAAAGGUAAUUUCAACAAUGCUGAAAUUAUAGGAGUAUUGAGAGACGAAAAGGGUUCGGUACUCCUUGUUUUUUCUAAAUCAAUUCGCAUUAGCAAUUUUAAUAGAGGAAAUUGUGAGAGAAGGACCUCGUGAUAAGGUGAUUUCAAAAAUAACCACCCAUAUAAAGUUAUCUGUUUCUACCCAAAAAUAAACAUGAGUAGACCAAAAUACCCUUAAAAACAUCGUUUCAAAUAAAUGCUCAGCUGUUUAAGCUAUCUGCCUCCCGCUAGAGAGAAAAUGAAAAACAUUAAAAAUAAAUGCGCGCAGCUGUUUGGGCUCGGUCAUCUUUCUCUGUCUCAACCCUGGCAAGUCUUUGUUGAGCACCAUCGUUGUCAACUCUCUCAGAUCUCUGAACUGUAUGAGCUCUGUCAACUCUCUGUUGAGCACCAUCGUCAUCGGGCUGUGAUCUAUCUCUCGGCAUCUGGCGACAUUGUCUUAGAUUAACACCCUCUAUAGCAGAGAUGACAUCAAGGUACCUGUUAUUGGGUUUAUUUCUGCAACACACUUAAAUUUUUGAAACAUUUGGUGUAAAUGAUAAGAUGAAUUAGAAACAUUGCCCAGAGUUGUUACACGUCAUGCAUCUAUAACAUGAGUGAAGAGUUAUUUUAGCGUGUCAGGGCUGUUACUGAUGUGUUGUGGGUUAACUAGUUAUUUGGAUUGUUAGCGUGUCACGGCUGUACCUGGGGUGUGGUGGGUUAACUGAAUUUAUGGGUUUUUGGUGUGUCAUUGUUGUUCCUGGCGUGUCGUGGGUUAACUGGUUUUUUGGGUUUUUAGCGUGUCACAGAUGUUGGUGUAACUAGUCAAUAAUUAUAGUGAUGCAUGGCGUGUCACGACAUUUGACUUGAUAUGCAUGGCGUGUUACAACAUUUUACGUUAUAUGCAUGGCGUGUGACAACACGACUAACAAAUUUUUGAUCACGACAUGUAUUGUGUAAAAUGAUUGACAAUAUUUUUUUUUCAAAAUUUCAGUGGGGUUCUAAUUGUGCGACUUGUGAUAAGACACGGUGGUCAGUGGGUGGAUGGCAUUUACAAGGGUGGUGAGUCAUGAAUGUGGGGGGGUUAGGAGUGAUUUGUCGUUUGUGGGCUUGAUGAAGCUAGUUGAAGAUGUUGUUGGGGUAAACUCAGAAAUUGACGAUAUUGAGUUACAUGCAUUGAUUAGUACACCCGGAGAGCUAUCACGGUCAAUUAUCAAGGACGAUGAGGAUGUUGCAUAAAUUUUGCUAGAACAAAGGAAUGUUUCGGCUGUGUAUGUCAGCAUUAAGGAACGCCAAACAAAUGUUAUGUCACAUAGAGAAGUUGGACAACAUGGUAAUCAGCUCAAUCAAAAUGAGAUUUACAAUGCUUCACAUAUACCACAGCAUUCGGUUCGUAACCCACAACAAUGGCAAUUGAGGUAUGCACAAGAGUUUGUGCAGCCCGGUAGACAGACGACAUUCAUAGAACAGUUGGCUGCACAAUUCCGAUUAGGAUGUGCAUCAAACCAAUUUGUUGCUUCUCUUGAACAAAUGCAACGAUCGGGUGAAACUGUAGAGUGUGUAAUGCCAUUGUCAAAUGAGAAGACGAUAGUUGAGGACAACAAUGUGAGGUUGGAGGGUGACACUGCGACGGUUGAGUAUAAUACUGCAUUUGAUGAGGGAAAUGAAGAUUUGUUUGCUGACAGUGAAGAUAGAUUUGAUCACACUUCAGAUGAUGGGAUUGAACAAUCGCAAGAUGACAGUUCAGACGAUGACUGCCUUUAUGACAGUGACAUUCCAAUUUGCAAUAAUGUUAAAGGCGAAACAGAACCUGUUGAAGGUGUUGAUGUAGGAGAUGUUCAGUGUGAUGACCCCAUAUACAAUAAUCCCAUCGCUGGUGAGAACGGGAUUCGUUCCCUUGAUACAAUGCUCGAUGACAGUGAUCAGGAAAGGGGAAAUGCAGAGAUAUCUUGUACGUGGGUAAUUGCAGGUGCAAAAAGGUUCUCCUUCCAAACAAUUACCACUGAGGAGUCGACAUGUGUCGAAGAUCGCUUAUACAAAGGAAGAAUGUUUUCGUCGAAGGCCGAGUUGAAACGAGCUUUGAACAUAUUAGUUAUAAAAGAGAAGUUUGCGAUAAGAGUAAAAAGGUCAUGUAAAGCUCGUUAUGAGGUUGGUUGCAAGGACAAGGCAUGCAAGUUCAGUGUUUGUGCAACGAAGUUACCUGAUAGAGGAGAAUAUUGGAAAGUUCGGACAUUUCACAAAGUACACACCUGUACCGUUGAUGGUUUGCAAGGGCGAUUUCCAACUACGAGUGCGAAGAUGAUUAGUGAACUUAUGUUACACAAGAUUUGGGCUAAUGGAGUAGCAUUGAGACCUAAGGGCAUAAUUUGUGAGAUGAGGGUUCAGUGGGGAUUGAAAUGCUUGUAUGGUAAGGCUUGGCAAGCGAAGAAGUAUGCGAAGAGGCUUGUUUUCGGUCCACCGGAGGAGUCAUUUCAAUUACUACCAUCGUAUUUUUAUAUGUUGGAACAAGAAAAUCCUAGCAUAGUGACUGCAGUGGCUACUGAUGAGGAAGAAAGAUUCAAAUAUUAUUUCUGGUCAUACGGGGCUUGUAUUCGGGGGUUUAGGGAUGUAACGCGUCUUACAGUUGUAAUAGAUGCAACACAUCUGAAAGGCAGGUUCAAGGGUGUUCUGUUUGUCGCUAUAUGCAAAGAUGUGAAUGAGUGCGUAUAUCCAGUUACGUUUGGCAUCGGCCAUGUUAAGUACGAAGACUCGUGGACGUGGUUUCUUAGCAAGCUGCGUGAUGCAGUUGGUUGUCCUGAAAACACUAUGUUCAUUUCUGAUCAGCAUCUCGACAUUAAGAAAGCAAUCCAAAAUGCAUACCCAGAAGCUCACCAUGAUUUAUGCGGUUACCACUUAAAAAAAAACUUUAAAAACAAGUUCAAGCGCGACGAUGUUUGUAUGCUUUUCACCCUUGCUCGAGAUUGCUAUAAGGUGGUCAAUUUCAACAGACAUAUGAACCAGAUAUAGCAGAUUCACUUGGGAGCCCACGCGGACCUUAUGAGAAUAAGGCUUGAGAAAUGGGCAUGUGCAUGUUCACCGGCAAGGCGAUACCAAAUGAUGACAUCCAACAUUGCGGAAUGUGUUAACUCAUGCUUGAAGCAUGCAAGAAAAAUGUCGAUCACUGUUUUGAUCGAGUUCAUCAGAGACAUGUUCCAACGUUGGUUCCAUGAACGGUACGAGGAGGCCGUCAAGGUGACCACGCCCCUCAGCCCUUGGGUUGCCAGGCAGUUAAGUAAAAGGCUCAAUGAUGCACAUUGCUUUCUAGUUAAUAGUGGAGUUCGAAGUUAAAGACGGGAAGAUGGACGGACUUGUAAACCUGUCCAGGAAGACAUGUUCAUGUUAUGAGUUCCAAAUAGAUUUACUGCCAUGUAGCCAUGCCAUUGCAGCAAUAAGGUCAGAAUAUCUUUAUUUCUUAUUUGAAUCGUAAUUAACAUAGCAUUUACAUUGUGCUUGAAGAUUGAGUUUUUAGUGUUUUUCAGUAAAUGCAAUCGUGAAGCCAUUGAAUUCUACGCUGACUACUACAAGACAACCGUUUUCUUGGAGGGUUAUUCAGAAUCCAUUAGGCCGGUAGGGCAUUCUAGUGAGUGGGACAUCCCCCCUCAUGUGAAAUAAAUUGUCAUCUUGCCCCCACCUUGGCUAGGCCAAGCAAGAAGACCUAGGAAGAGAAGGAUUCCAUCAGCUAGUGAAGGCAGUCGAGCACGAAGAUGUUUGCAAUGUAAGAGGUACGAGCAUAACAAAUAGAACUACCCAUCCCCAUUGACAGUUCCCUCCACAAAUCCGGCACCAUCUCUAAGUCAAUCGGUGACUCCACGACUGUGCCGACCCAAAGCAUGUUCAAGUUGCAAACAAACCGGUCACACACCCAACAACUAUCCAAUACGAAGGACAAUAUCUAAAAAUGUAGGGUGUGUUGUGAAUGAAGAUAGCCUGACCGCCUAACUAAAUGUGUCUGAAAAUUGUAGUUGAAUUCGUUUUGCUUUAAGGAUUUGUCUGCUCGGUCAUUCUAUGAGGCACUUUUAGUUACGGACUUUGUUGCCAAACAUUUUAGGCAGAUAAACAUGUCAAUGCCUUUGUUUGAUCUAGAUCGUGUUAAAGUACAUUCUUACAUUGUUUGUAAAAAUGUUUCCGAUUAUAAUCUCCAUCAGACAAGAGCCAUGUAUUUGUUUAUCUGCCUGAAAUGUUUGGCAAUAAAGUCCGUAACUAAAAAGGCCUCAUAGAAUGACUGAGCAAACAAAAUGUCAAGAUCUUCAUACUAUAUGCGUUGGAUCUGCAAAACAUGGCACAGAUGCACCAGUGAGUUAAGCCAUAAUGUGCAACAAGGUAUACAGAAGAAAUAAAUAAGGAAUAAAUGUGAGACACGCCAUGCAUAACAAGUAAAAUGUUGUGACACGUCGUGCAUAUCAAAUAAAAUAUUGUAACACGUCAUUCAUAACAAGAAAAAUGAAAUGACACGCCAUGCAUAACAAGUAAAAUGUUGUGACACGCCAUGCAUAACAAGAUAAACUUGGUGACACGCCAAGGAUAACAAGCAAAAUGUUCUGACACGCCAUGCAUAACAAGUAAAAGGUUGUAACACGCCAUGCAAAACAAGUUAGGCGUUGUAACACGUCAUGCAUAACAAUUAAAUUGUUCUGACUCACCAUGCAUAACAAGUUCUGGUGUGUAAAUUUAGACGUACGAUUUUAUAAUGGUAGGAUAGGAUUUUAGCUUAGAAACAAUUGGAAAAAUAAGGGAGGAUGGAUACAGAACAAUUUCAUGCUGGAAACAAUUAGAUGGAUGGAAAAAUCUAUAUAUUCAAUGUUAAUCAAUGUAAUGUUGGGUUGGUGCAGCCGGUGUGCCUAGAAGAGAAAGACGACGAACUUGGAAAUUAAUUAAUGCCAACCUGAGGUGACACGUGAUGACCCAAUUCUUAUGACACGCCGACUGGAAGCAGAUUAAUGACGUCACACGCUGAGUAUCUGGAGUUUAUGGCAUGACACGCCACGGCUCAAUUGUUCUGACACGCUGAGUAGAAGCAGAUUUAUCGGUUGACACGCCGAGUGUUAGUGGAUUUACGACAUCACACGCUAACUUAUUGCAGAAUUUUGGGGUGACAUGCUGAGUGCAAGCAGAUGUAUGUUGGGACACGCUGAGUGGUAUCAUGUUUAAGACGUCACACGCUGACUUCUUCCGACUGUGUAUCAAAUUAAAUAUAUUAUAUAUAGAAAAGAAAAAAAUUCUUGGUAUCAAAUUAAUUGUGUACAGGCAAAAAAAUUAAUUGUGUAUCAAAUAAUUGUACAAAGUAUAUUGUGUAUACAGAAAGAAUUAUAUCUGUUUAGAAUGAAUUGUAUACAAUAAAUUGUGUAUAGAAAAAAUGUGUAUAAAAUGAAUUGUAUAAAAAAAUUUAUGUGUACCAAAAAAAUUGUACAGACAAAGGCCUAUAUGUUCAGGGUUCGCUCUCACAACUGUUGGAAAAAAUUUUUAGAGCAUAUUGCUGAAGCAUUUUUGCAAUCAUACCCUAUCAUGAACAUACCGCAGUUGACACUAUCAUUCUGCCGAUGCACUUUAGCUUUUGGUAAAUGAAUAUCCAAUAGCAUCGGCAUCAAAUCCUAUCUCUUCCAACGUAUGUUGUUGAAAUAACCAGCUUGGUGGCAGAUGAAUGGCAUCAUUGUCUUCAAGGGUGUCAUCUGACCCGCACGAACUCUGUUAUCCUUAGCAUCUGAAGUUCUUGCUGAGUCCACCACCUUGAUCGUCCACCUCACCAAGUCGAUCUUCGCAACCACCCAAUGCCCACCAACAUUGCAAGGCACGAGGAUGAAAUCAACAUUUUCCCAUUUUUUGGCGUAUGUUGGCCUUUCACCCUCCACAUAGCCCCGCAACUCAUCUGAAAUUUGCAUUUUGGCUCGAGCAUCUUCUGUUAGAAAUUCGGUGUGUAGCAUACGGAUAGUGUCUUGUGAAACAUGUAAACAUUAGCUUACACUUCAUGCAAUCAAAAACUUAGUAUUUAUAGAAUUGAACAAUUUUCAAAUAAACUCACGAAGAAUAUCGUGUCAACCAUGCAUGCACGGGUAGUGUACAGCUUCGACUUCGGCCUUGUCAUUCGUUUGCAGAGUAGGCUGAGGCAUGCGUCGAUAUGUUCACUUAUCAUUACCUCAUUGGGAUCCUCUAAGGUUAUGAAAAAGUCAGCCCCUUAAUCCCUUAAGAUGCAGACGUUAUGCCUGCAUAUGUAACAUAAUUAAUUUCAUAAGUCUUGGUGGAUAACUGUUUCAUUAAAAAACAAUAUUUGUAAUUUUAUUUACGAGAUUACCUCUCGGACUCCUCUUUCUUGAAAGCUUCGUAGUCUUCUACGAUUUUAUCCCUCACAUCUCGACGGGUCACUAAGGGGUCGACGAAUGGGCUUGCCAUGUAUUUGCUCGCCAUUUUCAGUCAUGCCAGCUCAGUUGGGUCUGAAAUUUCUGAUGCACCAUGAUGAACAGCAGAUGACUCUGGUGACGACGACCGUAUCUCAACUGCAUCAGGAGUGCUCUCACGAUAAAGAACGAUAGCUCCUGCUGCUGCAUCGACGAAUGCAUCGGUCGGAGGAAGAUGCUCUCCUUCAGCAUCAUCUGACUGAAAGGUGACAUCCACUACCAUAACUUCUUCGACGACGUCAUCUACAUGAGUUAUGUGCUCUUCGUCAGCACCAAGAACGUCAUUGUCAAUGUCAAGACUCGGUUCAUGAUGUUGUCCAUCAUCAGCAUCAUCGUGCUCUAGACCAGCACCGUUAGAUGGACCGCCCUACAAAAUUGGAAAAAUCGUUAGUUAGCUCAUAAAAUACCACAAAUCAUAAACAGUAAAAUGUUGUGACACGCAGUGUAUACCAAGUAAAAUGUUGUCACACGCCAUGCAAAACAAGUAAAAUGUCGUGACACGUCAUGCAUAACAAGAUAAACUUGGUGACACGCCAAGGAUAAUGAGGAAAAUGUUGUGACACGCCAUGCAUAACAAGAUAAACUUAGUAACACGCCAAGGAUAACGAGGAAAAUGUUGUGACACGCCAUGCAAAACAAUUAAAAUGUUGUGACACGCCAUGCAUAACAAGAUAAACUUGGUGACACGCCAAGGAUAACAAGCAAAAUGUUCUGACACGUCAUGCAUAUCAAAAUUAAACGUUGUGACACGCCAUGAGUAACAAGUAAAAUAUUGUGACACGCUAAAGCUGACACGGCAACAACUAACUAUAAUAUAAAUGUCCUGACCCGCUAAUGACCAAAAACCAGUUAAACCACUACCACUUAACCCCAAAAACCAUCAAAACCAUCAAGAAAACACAGUCUAAACAGUUGCUAAAUGUAAACCAUCAAAAUACAAGCGAAGAUAGAUUAACGUACUUGUGAUUUAAGGCCGUCAAGAAUCCGACCAACGAUACGGUCCUCAAUCGUCUGCAUUGCUACACUUAAUGACUGAAUUGAAGCCUUCAGCUCCAACAUAUCUUUUUCAUGCUUGCGCAUGAUCCAUCGGAGCUGGCGAGUUGUGACUGCUCCGUCAUUGACUGUUCUCGACUGGGUCAACUACAAUAAUAUAUAUAGCUGUGUUAUUCAAUAAUCAUAUAUGGAAUUGUUGAACAUUAACCGUUACAACUUUAAUAUCCUAACCGGUGGCUCGUUACCAAUUUGCGGUGGAGCCGGACCGAUCGGUGCUUCAAGACCUGCCAUCACUUUCGCAUACUGCAAUUACAUAUUUAAUUGUGUUAUUCAAUAAUCAUGUAUGAAAUUGUUGAACAUUAACUGUUACAACUUUAAUAUCCUUAUCGCCGGCUCGUUAGCUGUCUGCAGUGGAGUCAGAUCGAUCUGUGCUUCAGGACCUAUCGUCGUUUUCGUAAACUGCAAUUACAUAUAUAACUGUGUUAUUCAAUAAUCAUGUUUAGAAUUGUUGAACAUUAACCGUUACAACUUUAAUAUCCUUACCGCCUGCUCGUUAGCUGUCUGCGAUUGGGCUGGAUAGAUCGGUGCUUGAGGACUUGUCGUCGCUUCCGUUAACUACAAUUACAUAAAUUAUUGUGUUACUCGAUAAACAUGUGGGAAUGUAGAACACAAACCGUUAGAACAGAUCUUACCGACGGGUUGUUUCCACUCUGCAUCUGAGAAAGAUCGGUGAGUGGUUCUGGAGCUAUCGGCCCAUGGUCCAACUGCAAACACAAAAAAGUUAUUCGAUAAUCACAAAUGAAAUUAGAGAACACAAAUCGUUACAAUUGUCCUUACCGGCUGUUCACUACCUUGACCAUGGUCGUCCCCUUCAUCCAUCAGCUCAUCAACUAAAGCAACGACAGUGCGCAUCCGCUUCGUGCCACCAGAGGCUCUUUUCUCUUUCAAGCUUCUCCUUUUUUGCCUCGCACCUAAGCCCCAAUCCGACCAAUCCUCCAUUUGCCCUAUUGGCACGUACUCGUUGCCUUCCGAUAACAGGAUAUCAAGGUCCACAAAAUACUCUCGAAGGGCCUCAUCCGCGGUGGGUUCCAAUUUCUCCAAUGCCCAUAACUGCAAAUAAACAAAUAAAAUGUUGUCAUUAUCGAAUAGGAAAAAUUAUUUUACAAAUAUAACGCAAAAAUUAACAGUUGUUCACUCACUUGGUCAAAUGACUCUAACUUCUGAAUUGUCUUGUAGAAGUUUUUUGGCUUCUGAUUGCAAUCCCAUUUGCACAUUCGUGGGUGGACAUUGUCCUUCGGACCAGAGGGGGUAACUAUUUUUCGGAGGGCCAAAAUUGCCUCAAUUGCCCAGAACUGCAUGACAAAUGUAACCAUUAUCAGACCGUCAAUCAUAAACGACUGCACCCAUAAAUUUUUUAUUUGAAACAAAAAUGAAAAAUGUUACGUUUUAGCACCUGUAUCACCUAUGCGAAUCCGUAAAUGUUGUAGCAUAACCGUGUUUCCUUUGUCACGCUCAAGUCUUCGAACCCUUUCAAAAGGUAGUCCAAGGUCAGCUUCCAAACAUAGUGCCCCCAUGGGAAGACAUUUCAAACGUCGAUGUCCUCCACCAAUGACAGCAACCAAGGCGUCACCCAUCUACGGUAGUCUUGACCAAAUAAAAUGUUAUUCGAGAAAAAGACGAGUGCCAUCUUGGUCGAGCCUCCUGGUAGCUGAAAGUGACCCCCGCGAAAGGUAUCAAGCAAAGCCUGCAGCUUAACGUUGUCCUGCCUAUUCUAGUAUCUUGCAUGAAUUCCAUCCGUAACAACCUCGUACGGUCGUCUGAACACAUCGGGCAUUGGACCAAACUUCAGCACAGUGAUGAGGCAGAACUCUUGCUUUGAUAGUCGCGCCUUGCUCUUGCCAAUGGCAAACCAUAGCUCAUGGUCCAUUGAUUGCCUCUCAGUGAUCUGGUGAAUCAUGAUGCUGUGCAAGAGACAGACGUAAAAGUACCCCUGUGGAUAGACAUCCAGGAGCAUUUCAAAACAGGUACGCUUAACUGGAUCGUACUCCCCCUUCUGUUGGAGAGUCUUUGUGAUGUAAUGCAGCUUUGACCACUUACAGUGAGUGUUAAUUGCGACGUUGAACGCCGACUUCUCCCUCAACACGAUCAGUAAACUAUCAAGAUCCUCAUACUAUCUGCGCUGGAUCUGCAAAAUAUGGCACACAUGCACCAGUGAGUUAAGCAGUCAUGUGCAACAAGGUACACUGAAGACAUAAAUAAGGAAUAAAUGUUGGGACACGCCAUGCAUUGCAAUCAAAAUGUUGUGACACGCCAUGCAUAACAAGUAAAAUGUUGUGACAUGCCAUGCAUAACAAGUUAAAUGUUGUGACACGCCAUGCAUAUCAAGUUAAAAGUUAUGACACGCCAUGCAUAUCAAGUAAAAUGCUGUCAAACGCCAUGCAUAACAAGUAAAAUUCUGUGACACAACAUGCAUAUCAAGUAAAAUGUUGUCACACGCCAUGCAUAUCAAGUAAAAUGCUGUCACACGCUAUGCAUAUCAAGUAAAAUACUGUCACAUGCUAAUAACUAACUAUAAUAACAAUGGCGUCACACGGUAAACACCUAAAACCGCUAAAACCACUACGGCUUAACCACAACAACCAUCAAACCAACAAGAAAACACAGUCUAAACAUUUGCAAAAUAAAACAAAAAACCCGAACAUAUCAAACAAACCCAGGAAAAAAUCAAAAAAUUAACGAACACAAGAAUGUUGCGAAUUUGAAACUCACUAACCUCUUCAUUCAUGGCCGACAUUUUUGCUAGUGCUGUGGUUUCGUUCCGCUUGCAAAGAGCCUUCUCGAACACUCCGGUACCAGUAAGAAUGAGAAAUGAAUCACACAGACAUUAUGAAUUCUGAAUAAUAACUAUUUAAAAUAAAAAAUGGCCUUUUAAUAUUCUUAUUUAUUCUGAAAAAGGAAAAUUAAUUCAGUGAAAGUCCAAAGGAUUACCAUGUCAGCUGCUCAAGCACUGCCGUGUCACAUACUCUAAACCAUGACCAUGGCGUAUCAGCUUUUCAAGCAAUGCCAUGUCACACUCUAAACAUGACCAUGACGUGUCACCAACUCUGAACUCUGUCGUGUCACAGAUUCCCUCCAUGGCGUGUCACCAACUCUUAACUCUAGCGUCUCACAGAUUCAAUCCAUGGCGUCUCACCAACCCUGAACACUAGCAUGUCACAGAUUCCCUCCAUGUCGUGUCACUAACUCUUAAUCUGGUGUGUCACAAAUUCCCUCCAUGGCGUCUCACCAACUCUGAACGCUAUCGUGUCACACAUUCCCACCAUGACGUGUCACCAACUCUUAACUCUAGCGUCUCACAAAUUCCCUCCAUGGCGUCUCACCAACCUUGAGGGGUGUCGUGUCACACAUUCUCAACAUGACGUUUCACAAACUCUAAACCCUGCCCUACGACAGCCAUUUAAUAUAUGGCGUGCUAUAGUAGGACCAUUUCCUGCUUUGGAUUCACAUCUUUCUCCUUUCAAUUCACCACCGUAUCAAGGAUUUCUAGUUUCACAUCAUUAGCCAAGCUUUCCAUUCAUGACGACUUGUUCCCCAUUCGAUUUAAUAUCUCUCUUCUCCUAUUAUCUGAAUGCCAUGUCCCAAAUCUCUGAAAACCCAUCUCUUGCAACGUUAUUUUGUUUUGCACAACAUUCCAAAAAAAAAAUUUGGGUAUUUUGCACAACCAAUCUUUGCAUAUUUAUUUUUUUUUCUCCCAUUUUUUGCCUGUUUGAGAGUGUAAGCUAACGAAGACGGCUCAUUAAGGGCAUUUUUGUCCCAAAAUCUUUUCUGAUGGCUAAAAACAGUUAAAAGUAUCUUGCCAGUUAUUUACAAAAACACGUUAUUUAUAAGGGCUAAAAAAAAAAUCCUCAUUCUAAUAUUAAUGAAAUUUUAGCUAUUAAAAAGGCUUUUAUGGUUUUUGCUUCAUCAAAUGGAUGGACACUCAUGGGCUUAUCAUAAGAGUGACUUGUCAAAUACGGUAAACUUAACUCAUCUCCAUGGAAUCUAAGACUUGUGAUAUUACAAAUUGAAAAUAUUAAGAGGGUGCGGAAAUGGCAAGUAAGCAACAUCAUAUUGGAGGCUAAUUCGAUGGUUUAUGAGUUAGACAAGACCGAGGUGAAUAAACUACAAGACAUAUUUUUUAAAAAAAGCAGUAAAGCUGAAUUAUAUAGCAAAAAAGAAAGCGAAAAUAAGCUUCUUUUACAGCCUGACGAAAAGGGCUCACGGUAACAUAAAAAAACAACCAAUGGGGCUUGAGAACUCAGGUAGAGUAGUACUUACCUUAGGUCCAGCCAAGUAGUAAUGAAAAAAAAACAUUACAAAAGGCAAGAAAACCCACCCUUUACAUUACAAAAGGACUUGUACAUAAUCUUUUCCUACGAGGAGGAUCCAAAAAUGUGUUCAACUAAUAUCCCACAGAAAAAUAGCAGUAUAAAAGAAGAAACAUCAAUGGUUUCCAUAAAGGUAAUAGAAAGCAUUGUGAUGCACAGCACAAUGAAAUAAAGCAGGGGACAAAACACCUCACACUAGUUAAUCCUCACCGAGGCUAGCAUGGAGUGGUUGACCUAAAGCAAAUCUAUUAGUCUUUUGACACCUUCUUUGGCCAACGAGUCAACUUCUUGGUUAGCAGAGCAAGAAAUGUGUUUAAUCUCCCACCUUCCAAUCUUGUCAAGAAUGUUAAAUGUUUGAAUGACUAGAGACCUCAUUCUCUAUGGCACCUCCACAAGGUUGGUAAUCCAUUUGACUACAUUAGAAGUAUCACACUCAAUGAGGAGAAAAUGAGAGAAGCACCACCUUGACGUUGCGAAUAUAAAGGCAGCUUCCUUCACAACUAGCAAUUAAGCCUUGUUGGAGUCGCAAACACAGAUGGAUUUGGAGAAUAAGGCUAGCAUAUCCCCAUACUCGUUUCUUAAGAUGCCACCGAUAUUAGAGUCCCCAAGGCAACCUAUAGAAGCUUUAUUAGUAUUAAAUUUAAUAUUUCCUUCCUACGGUUUAGACCAAACCUCCAAUUUCUUGGACUUUUGGCACUUUUUAAGGGUAGUCCCUUCAUUAGGGCAUCUAACAAGGUCUAUGAUUAAGGCAUUAUAACCAGGCCAUUUAACAUUCAUCCAUCAUGCUAAUCUAAGUUUAGAAAGUUCAAAAAUUUGCUCCCCUUCCCAAAUUUUACUAUUGAAAACAACAUCGUUCCUUGAUAUCCAAAUGGCCCAAAUAAUGGCAUACGAAGCCAUUUUCCAAACUAGGUCGUUGUUGAGGCGACUAGCGACCUUGAACCAUGAGAGAAAACAAACUAAGGGAUUGUAAUGAAGCACUUAGUGAAUAUUCCACAAAGACCCUUAUUGCAGCCAUGAAGACCAGGUUCUGUCACAAUUGAAAAAUAAGUGGCUUACCAUUUCAGUCUCACAUUGAUUAAUCAAACAAACAGCUGCUUGUGCACUAAUGAUUCCUUUACUUACCAAUGAGUCCUUGACAACCAGUCGUUUACAGAUAAGCUGCUAGCAAAGAACUUUAAUUUUGAGAGCGGCAAGGCCAGACCAUGCAAGCUUCUAGUGGUCAAACAGGUUGCUAGUGGAUAGAAGCACUAGACGACAGAAAGAACCAAAGGAAUAAUUACCAAUGAGGUUGUAUUUGCAAACAAGUUUGUCUUGAAAGUCUCUACUGAUUGCUUGGUCAUUGAUUAAAAAGUUGAAGUUAGCUCAUUGAUCUUGUUCUCAUCCAAAAAUGUUCUUACAUAGCUUAAUUUUCCACCUUCAUUCCUUAUCAAUCCAAUCACCAAAUUCAUCAAUAUUACCCUCCUUAUUGAUAGUCAAAGUGUAAAUUCUAGGAAAGUCUCUCUUGAGAAUGAAACCAUCAAUUCAUUUGUCUUCCCAAAAGUUGGUUUGGCUUCUAUGACCUAAGGAUAAGCCCAUAACUUUCGUCAACACGGAAUUAAAGUCAUAAACACUAGAGAAAGGUUUGAUGAUGUUCUUCCAUAUACCAGAUGCCUUGUUAGGAUUACCUAAAUAUGGGAGAAGAUUGCUUUGACCAAGGUCUGUUUUGAUCAAUCCUUGUUAGGUUUGGUUAUGUUUUUCCAUAAAUUUUCUAGCUCAUUGCCAUAACGCCACAACCAUUUAUUUAGGGACGCUAUGUUUUUUAGUUUCAGUUCGGUAAGGCCAAACCUCCAAGGUCACAAAAGUUGCAGACGGCAGCCCAACAAACAUGGUGAAGUUCUUAAACAAGAUUUAAACCUCCCCACAAUAACCUUUUAAAGAUUUUUUCAAAUGUCGUUCUAACCUUGACUAGUUUGAAAUAGCAACAUUCGAAAAAACAGCAAGCUAUGCAAAACAGAUUUUACGAGUGUGACACGCCCACCCAUAUAUAACGUCUUGGCAUUGCAUGAAGAGAGCCUAUUCUCAACUCUUUUAAUCAUAAGCUACCAAACACUCACUGAAUCGAAGAUGGCUCCAAGAGGAACACUACCAAAAAGCAAGGCUUUUUUUACGAAAUUUUUUGUUGGAAAAAGGUAAAAUUCAUUGGAAAUACUUUUUUUCGAUGGAUUUCCAACAAAAUUUUUCAUUGAAAAUUUCGUCGGUAAAAGCCUCGUCAGUAAUACUUUAUAUUGGAAAUCCAUCAGAAAUUUUCAAGGAAAAAUUCAGUUGGAAAAUUCCAUUGGAAAAAAAGAGAUAAUCAGUGGGCUAUCAAGUGGUAAUUUUGUUGGAAAUUUCCAAUGAAAUUUUUAGUUUGAAAAAUAUUUUCAAUGGAAAAUUUCGUUAAAAAAGCAUUUCCCACGAAAAAUUUCGUUGGAAAUUUCCAACUGAAUUUUCUAUUGAUAAUGUAUUUCCAAUGAAAAUUCUUUUACUAAUUUUCAAUUGCAUGUUCUGUUAAUAAUGCUUUUUCAAAAAAAAAUUACCAAUUAAAACUUUGAUAAUAAAUCCACAAUUGACUUUCAAUAUGUAUAAGAGAAACACACAUUAGAAUUCUGUUUGUAAUUGUUUACAUGUAUUUGAAAUUAUUCCAAGAAUGAAACGAUUGAUUGUUUGUUGAUUGUUCUAUUUGUAUCCAAUCCUCAUACUUUCGCAAAAUCAUGUUGCUAGUUGGAUCUGUAGCUUCAUCACCAACAAAAUCUUUGCUAAAUUAAUAAACCUAAAAGAUUGGCCUGAUAAGCUUAAAACAAAGAGCUGUAAUGGCUAUUUUUUAGUACCCUUUGUAGUCUGCAAGACAGAAGCACCAUUGGUUGAAACUUGGAAUUGUUGUGGUUGUCAUUAACUGGGUAGGAAAUAUGUCAUCAGGUAAACAGAAAAAAACUAAGAACAAGUUCUUUAGAGCUAAUCAUCAUAAGGCAACGUUAUGAGUUUCUUGUCAUUACUAGAGGCUGAUAUUGUUUCACUAUUUGAUUUAUGUUUGGGACUGUUCUAAGGUUUAGCUAAGUUCCAAAACUUUUUAAUGUCGUGAUUGGUUAUGUCUCCUUCAUUCUGUUUGAUCAGCUUAAGUCAUUAAGUUGACUGUGGCUUUAGUUUCAACCUCUAACACUUAAGCUUAAAGAUUAAAAACACUAAUGAACC